rnacentral:lncRNA from 1 species
UAUUAUCUAAUUUUUUUUAUUUUCGUGCAAUUAUAGACUUUAUUAAUGUCCAUCAAGGAUCCACCAUAAUUCAAAGUAGAGAUCAAACGAGAAACACUAAGAACAAGCCCACGUGCUAUUCUAUAACUAGAAACAAGAAAGAAAAGGUAGCAGCAAAAAACACCAUACUCGACCUAACUAAUUCUUUCCAUUUCCCACCACUCAUCUCUCUUCGAGACGAACUCAUCCUUGGAGGUAUCAGCGGCAAACUUGAGGUUCUAAUCCAAGUUAUUAUUAGCAAAAACAAGGCAAUUUUCAUGUUCUACCAUCUGAGGCUGCAAACUAAGAGGAUCUUGUCGUAUCUUCUCAGCCCGAGCCACAGCCAAUUGCAUUUGUAAUUGUGCCGAAUGAUUCUCCAUAAAUAGGAUCUUGACUUCUCUUCGUACACUGAAAUCCUCCUCUCCGUCCCCAUACAUCCACUGAUCCCUCUCCAAUGUCAGUGUUACACCCCUAUCUGAUCCGCCUCGAAACGCGCACCAUCAUAUAUUCCGACCUGAUAAAGACUCGUCCGAAGUGUUUCCGAAGUGAUAUCAGCAAUGUUUGCAACCUAGUAGCACGCUGCGAAAUAAAGGCGAUCCCUACUAUUGACCUGACCGAAGCACCUCGCCCCCGAGGCCGAGGCCAAGUGGACCCUGGCUAGAAGGUACGUCGCCAAUUUCAGAAAAAGAUUUGUGCCAAGAUCCUUCCUGCACCUAAGGUUUAAAUUGAUUUGACGUCUCCAUGAGGCUAGUCGAUGUGACUUAUCAACUUUAUGUCAAUUCAACUCGGGAGAAACAAGCUGUCCACCCACUCUACAAACACGGCUGAUUGACGCCUAUGAGUGGAAGCCUAAUACCGUCAGAUGUAUACACGUGUCUAACAUCCAACGGCUCAUCCCACCUUUAAAUACCCAAGGUUUGGCAAGAGGCAAAGUAAUGAAACUCUUACUACAUAGCACUCCCUAGCAAGCUUAUAUAUUUCUCCUCCCCCUUAUCAUUAUUUGGCACAACCUCUGGGUACUGUUCCGACCACCUAAACCUGACUUGACCGUCGGAGUGUAUACGGCCGCCACUACCCCUGCUGGUCUCGAUCGUGUGCGUUUGACCGCUCGCUGAUUGUGCGCAGGGAGGAAUACGUGGAGUAGCUCUCAGUUGGCCACGUGGAAGGACCAAUUUUUGAGGUCAACAGAUUGGCGCCGUCUGUGGAAAAAACUUCCCGUUCGAAGUUCUGCAUUCUCCAUCGGAAAAGUUACCGGAAAACUAGCAACUAACUCUGAAAAGGGGAAGUUCUUGAAAAAGUACAAAGUCGAGUUAAAAUCCAAGUUCUCACCACCCUUGGAAAAGGAGGUAGGAUGAGUUAUAGCCAUGAAGACGACAACCCCAUGAGAGAGGCCUCUGAAGAAGAGGUACUCCAUAACAAUGUUACUCAUCAGAGACCACAUCACCGACGUCGCCGAGGUGGAAGAAUAGCCAUACUCACUGAAGGAAUGGCUUAAAUAGCUGCGGGUAUGAGAGACAUCGCAGCUCAGAAUAUGGCAAUGCAUGAACUCCUCAUGCAAGCCUAGGGUCAUCAGGGCUAUCAAAUGCCCCAAGGAUCUUACCCGGUGUGAGAAGGUCCUGUAUCUCACUCCCGAGGCCACAUGAGUCGGCACACAAAACGUCCCCUCGAAAGGGAGAUAAACGUCGAAGCCACAUCUUAUGUGCAAGGGAACCAGCCAUCAGAACCACACUUGGGAGACAAUUUCCCUCAAGAACAUGAGGACCAGAGGUCGGUAAGCGUCUUCCACCGGAUAGGGGAGAGUCCUAGCAAUAGGGUCCGUCCAGUAAGAGGAUCAGUUCGUCCAGAUCACGAACACUAACAUGCUCCCCCUCCUCCUAGAAAUAGGAGAGACAGGAGAAACCUAGUCGACUGGGGAAGUCGAGGAGAAGCACCUCCACCUCCCCAGAACAUUCAAGAUGAUGAACGUUCAGAUGGGCCCUAUCGAUCUUAUGGAAUCGACGAUGAUGAUGAUAACCUCCCUUUCUCAAGGGAGAUCCAAAGCUUCCCAAUGCCAGCAAAUUUCAUGCCCCCUAAGAUCUCCAAGUAUGAAGGAAAGAGGGACCCGGAGAAGCACCUCACCAAGUACAUGACACAGAUGAGCCUUAGGGGAGCCUCGCCUGCUUUGAAAUGCAGAGCCUUCCAUUUAACGCUAGGCGGGGCCGCCAAAGUAUGGUACAUCAGGCUUCCUUCCCUAAGCAUCAGAAGUUGGUCGGAUUUGAAGAAAGCAUUUUUGAACCAGUACCUCUCACGCAGGGAAGGAAAGGCACAAGUGCAACGCCUACAAGAUAUGAGGCAGGCCCCUGGGGAGACGCUGAAAAGCUAUCUCGCCAGGUUUACAGACGAAAUCACCUACUGUGAACAGGUCACUGACAGAAAAACCCUUUCAGCCCUGAAAGGUUGGCUCAACAUGAACACUUUGUUCUGGAGAGACGUGCGCAGCAAGAAUCCCUCCACAUAUGACGAGCUGGUGAAAAUGAUGAGAAUGGAAAUUGUUAGUGAAGAAAUGAUUGAUCAUCGCAAUCGUACCGCACAAGGACUCCCUCCGAUUUAGAGGCAGGUAGGUUGGGAACCCGCAGCACACCUUGUUACUCAGCAAUGGACCCAAGCAGGUCAUACAAUAGCUCCCACAUCCGGACAGGCCCUGGCUUCCACCACAUUGAAUGCAGUACCGGUGUCGGCAUAUGAGAAUACCCCUGCCGAAGCGGGACCAUCUAGAAGAGCUGAUAACAAGAAGAAGAAGAUGUCAAACAGACCCUUGGAAGGGGCAAAGUUUUGUAUGUUCCAUCAACUCUAUGGACAUGACACUAGUGAGUGCCGAGACGCCAAUCGACGCCUUGAUUGAAGCAACUCACACCCUUCCAGCAGGAACGAAUAUCCUCGCAAAUCCGCCUCCCCGGGGAGGGGGGGAUAGAGGGCACAGGGAACAAUCGCCUUAGAGAAGAGAAUCAAGGGACCGGUGGUGUCAAUCAAGACAAGAAAACCAAGCCCAAUUUUCUGGGAGCCAGGUCGGGAGAUCGACACUAUUAUUGGGGGACCCCAAUCGGUGGCAAUACCAGGAAUGCCCAGAAAAAUUACACAAGGGAAGCAAAGGACCCAUCAAUGAUCACUUACAUUGUCAACGAGUCGUACGCAGCAGAUAGGAUGGCCCCAAUCACCUUCUCCGAGGAAGACUCAAAUGGGGUUCACCACCCCCAUUCAUUGGUUGUAAGAGCCGUAGUGCUAGAAACGGGUUAAAACGCAUACUCGUUGACAAUGGCAGUUCCGUGAACAUAUUGUUCGGCUCCACUUUUGACAAAAUGCAAAUUGAACAUGAGUUGAUCGCCAUGACAGACCCACUAUUUAGAUUCACCGGGGACAGCAUCAUCCCACGAGGGUGGAUCACUCUGCCUAUCGAGAUGGGUUCGGCACCCUUAGUGGCCCAACACUUCAUGAAAUUUUUGGUGAUAGAUCACAGAUCGGCUUAUCAUGGAGCAUUGGGCAGACCCGUUUUGAAAGAUCUUUGGGCUAUCACGUCCAUCCACUAUUUGUGCAUGAAAUUUCCAACCAAACAUAGGAUUGCUACGGUCCGAGGCGAUCAGAUGGGCUCCAGGGCAUGCUACUUAAGCUCGCUGCAAAAGUCCGAGGCCCGAACUGUUAAUGUAAUCCUAACUGAGGUACCCGCUGAAAUCAGUACGGACGUGGAAAUGCUCAACGCCCCUAAACAAGGACAUACCUCUGAACAAGAGGGAGACGUCGACAUGGAAGAGGUCCCUAAACAAGGACAUCUUCUAGAUGAGUUAGAUCCCCGAAUAAUUGACUCUGAACCAAAUGCGACCCCAAUGGAAGAAUUGGAGACUUUCCCCGCCAACCCAGAAGACCCCAGUCAGGCCUUGCGUAUAGAAAGGUCAUUGUCCCCUGAAGCAAAAGCAGAGAUGAUAAGCUUCCUGAAAGGGAACUUGGAUGUCUUCGCAUAGAAACAUGAAGAUAUGGUGGGAAUAAAUCCUAGGAUCAGUUGUCAUCACCUUAAUAUCAAUCCCUCAUAUGCCCUCCAUAGACAGAAGAGGCGUGCCCACAAUCCGGAAAGGUACGAGGCACUGAAAGACGAAGUAAACAAACUUAGCCACAGUGGUUUGAUAAGAGAGGCCAUCUACCCAAGGUGGAUAUCCAACCCGGUCCUUGUGAAAAAGCCCAGCGAAAAGUGGAGGGUAUGCAUGGACUUCACGAACUUAAAUAAGGCGUGCCCCAAAGACAACUUCCCACUUCCAAGAAUAGAUCAACUUGUGGAUUCUACUGCUGGACAUGAACUACUGAGUUUCAUGGAUGCAUACUCAGGGUAUAACCAGAUACCCAUGUUCCGACCUGAUGAGGAAGCUACAUCGUUCAUUACGGACAGGGGUCUGUAUUGCUACAAAGUCAUGCACUUCGGAUUGAAGAAUGCUAGAGCUAUAUAUUAGAGGUUGGUCAAUAUGAUGUUUGCCGAACUCAUUGGCAAAACCAUGGAGGUCUACGUUAACGACAUGCUGGUCAAAAGCCUCCAGGCAGCCGAACACGUGAGUCACCUCGACCAAACUUUUCAGAUACUUAGAAAGUAUAAUAUGAAAUUGAAUCCCCUCAAGUGCACCUUUGGAGUGGCAUCGGGCCAGUUCUUGGGGUAUAUUGUCAAUUAGAGAGGAAUUGAGGCGAAUCCAGUAAAAGUAAUGGCCUUGCUAGAGAUGAGGUCACCUCAGAAAUCUAAGGAGGUCCAAAGUCUCAGUGGUCGGAUGGCCGCACUCAAUCGCUUCAUCUCCAGAGCCACAGAUAAAAGCUUGCCUUUCUUCAAUAUGCUGAAACAAAGAAAGAAAUUCCAAUGGACUUCAGAGUGUGAAGAAGCCUUCGAGGCUCUGAAAAAGUACCUUGGGGAGACGCCCCUCUUGUCGAAACCUCAACCGAAUGAGUCUCUACUGCUUACUUGUGGUUUCGAAAGUGGCGGUCAGCGCCGUCCUAAUCAAAGAAGAAAGUGAGUGCCAAUUGCCAGUGUACUAUAUCAGCAAAGCACUUCUUCCAGCUGAAACACGCUACCCAGACAUGGAGAAAUUGGCACUCGCCCUUAUCACAGCCUCAAGAAAACUGAGGUCAUACUUCCAGGCCCACUCAAUACAAGUUCUCACCAACUUCCACUAAAGCAGGUGAUGCAGAAAACAAAAGCAUCAGGACGCCUGCUAAAAUGGGCAAUCGAGCUCAGUGAGUUCGAUCUAACAUUCCAAUCUCGACACGCCAUCAAGGGUUAGGCCCUUGCUGAUUUUAUGGUUGAGUUUGCCAGAGCCCCAGAAAUGGAGACGAUAAUGGAACCAGCCGAGCCCCCCAUAUGGAAACUGUUCGUAGAUGGGUCCUCGGAAAAGACUGGCACAGGGGCAGGAAUCGUGUUGCAAAGCCCAGAAGGCCACAAGCUAAAUUAUGCAGUGAGGUUUGGCUUCAAAGCCUCGAACAAAGCUGCUGAAUACGAGGCCCUUCUGGCAGGUCUUAGACUUGCUAAGGAGAUGUGGGUCAAAAGGCUCCUGGCGAGCAGUGAUUCUCAACUUAUAGUAAAUCAGGUCAAUGGGAACUUCGCAGCCAAAGAUGGUAGCAUGAUUGCGUACUUGAAGUUGGUUCUGGACAUAGUUCCUCAUUUUGAAAGGUUCGAACUGACUCAAGUCCCCCGUUUAGAGAAUACACAUGCAGACGCCCUUUCAAAAUUGGCCAGCAGCAUAAAUUCAGAACUGCUAAAGGCCGUCCCUAUUGAGCACUUAUCAAAGCCCUCCACCUCCGGGAGUGAAGAGAUACUAUGGAUAGAAGGCACCCCAUUAUGGAUGCAGCCUAUCAUCGCCUACCUGAAGGAUCAAACACUGUCUGCUUCUAGAAGCGAGAUGAGGAAGUUAAGAAGAAGGGCAGCACACUUCGUCCUGCAAGAAGAUACCCUUUACAAGAGAGGCUUCACCUCGCCGCUUCUUCGAUGCGUAGGAGGCGAAGAGGCCACAUACAUACUCAGGGAAAGUCAUGAGGGAAUCUGUGGAAAUCACUCCGGAGGAACGGCUCUGGCACACAAGGUUCUCCGUUAAGACUACUUCUGGCCGACCCUGAAAAGGGAUGCUUGCCAAUUUGUCCAGAAAUGUGAUAAGUGCCAGCGCUUCUCGAACCAACAAAGACAACAUACUCAGAGCCUCUCCGUAGUAACCAGCCCUUGGCCGUUUGCCAAGUGGAGCAUUGACUUCUUUGGUCCACUCCCAAAAGGAAGAGGAAGUGCAACUUUCGCCAUUGUUGCCAUUAACUACUUCACUAAGUGGGUCGAGGCUGAACCCCUUGCCAGGAUUACCGAGGCGAAUACUACCAAAUUCGUCUGGAAGAACAUCAUUUGUAGAUUCGGCAUUCCCCACUCCUUAGUGUCUGAUAAUGGAAGGCAGUUCGAUAACAAGAAGAUGCGAGACUUAUGCGACGAACUGGGCAUAAAGAAGGACUUCUCGACACCUCAUCAACCCCAAGCAAAUGGGCAAGUUGAAGCAGUGAACAAGACUAUCAAGCACACCCUGAAAAUGAAGCUUGAUACCUCAAAGGGGGCCAGGGUUGACGAACUCCCCCACGUCCUCUGGGCUAUCAGAACUUCUUGCCGGACUGCAACAGGUGAAACACCAUUUUCCAUGACCUACGGAGUCGAAUCCAUAAGUCCGGUCGAAGUCGGGGUCCCAUUACGUCGACGGAUACACUUCAAUGAGAUCAGCAAUGAUGAUGCUCAAAUAAGCGAACUACACCUCCUUGAGGAAAGGAGUGAUGCCUCCCAAGUGAACUUGGCAAAGUAUUAUCGAAAAAUGACCCGCUAUUACAACUCCAAAGUUAGAAACAGAACUCUUCGCCUGGGCGACCUUAUCCUCAGAAGAGUCUUCCAAUCCUCCAAGCCAAUUGGGUCAGGAGUGUUUUGCCCGAACUAGGAAGGCCCUUACCGCAUCCGCAGGGAAUCCCGAUUUGGUACUUUCGAAAUUGAAGACAUGGCAGGAAAGGCCUUGCCUCAUCAGUGGAACAUCGAACACUUGAGGAAGUACUAUCAAUGAUAAGCCUUUGUUCCGAUCCGAUUUCAAUAUGGUAUAAUGAAUCGAUUGUUUUGAUCUGAUCUCAGUUGUAAAUUCCCUAACUACGUGCUGGAAUCGCCUUGGUAAAGGGUGGUGUAAUUUAUCUCAAGUAAUGAAACUUUGGUUCUGAGCCACAUUAAUUAGUAAAUAGAUUCCUCAGUCCUUCAAUGGGAAGCGAUCCGAUCUUCAAUUAUUAAGGGGCUCUUCAUGUUUGCUUAAGUGGUCCGCUUCAUAUUGACUUACGUGGUCCGAUCUCAUAUUGUUAACAGGUUAGCAUUAAGAGUCGCUUCAUAUUCGCUUAAGUGAUUCAACUUAUAUUAACUUAAGUGGUCCGAUCCGCAAUUAUUAACUGGUUACUAUUACGAGGCAAUUAGUCUGACGUUUGUCAUUCAUACAAGUAUGAACAGAUCGAAAAGAUAAAAAAAGCAGAAGCACAAAUACUUAGCAAAAAGUUCAUUUCAUUAAAUAAAUUUAAGUACAAGGAGGCCGAAGCCAUUACAAAAGAUAACCCUAUUCUGCUGGAGGGACUUCUACAUCGGUAGCCUCUGGGGCCUCCGGAGCUUCCUCAGCAAGCCUAUCAGGUCGACCUCCAGUUGGCCUCCCGAACUCUGCCUCCAAUGAAGAGAUGUCCAAAGUGGGGUGCACCUCCUUCACUCGACCCAAUAAGCUUUGGGCACUCCAUGAGGCCCAAAAAUUGGCAAAGUCAUCAUACAAGGGAUGGUCUUCAAAGUGGUCGAUGAAGUUCUGAGCUGCCACCUCCCCUACAGACUUCAACUUCUCUUUCAAAGAGGCAAUCUCCUCUGACUGAGCCUCUGCCUUCUGCCUCAGCUCCGCCUUCUCUUUGUUGGAGGCCUCCAGAGCCUCGAUAUCGACCUUGUGGUGCUCAUUGGCGUGAUCAAGCCGCCGAGUCACAGCAGCCACUUGGCACUCCACCUUGUACAACUCCUUCUUCAGUCGCUCCACUUCUGCUUUGGCGGCAGUUAGCUGGGCCUCAGCUUCCUUCUUCCCCUCCUCCACCUGCGUGGCCUUGGUCUGGGCAACUCGCACGGUAUCCCCGUAGUGCAUCGCCUCCUCAAGGCGCUUGGCGAGGUCCUCCCACUUGGAGUUCAGAUCCUUCAUCAAGCCCUCAAGUUGGAUGCUUGUACUCAGGGCCCGAGCCACGCCGGCGCUAUUUACAGCCACCAAAUCCUCAGCUGUGCAGAAGGCGGUGUGGUCCCUCCACUCCUCAAUCCAGUAUUUGCUACAGACGACCGCCACCGCAGCUGUUUCUGGAGGAAGAGCCUCCAACACUUCCCUUACGGGCUCCUCCAAGUUUGUGCCCAGAAAGUCGACCUCCUUAGAGGGACAGGGACUCUUCCUCUUCUGCUGCCCUGGCACUUGAUCAAUUGGCGCGGUAGCGAGGGGUGUUGUGGCCGGGGUAGUGGCAGGCUCAGGUGGGGCGGGCCUCUUCUCUGGAGUAGCCACCCCGGUGAGAAUUGUGGUUUGCCUCAGAGCAGGGGGUGGCCUCGCUACAGUUGGACGUUUUGGAGGGGCGGCACUCUUCUUGCCCUUCCUCUGAAGGUCAGCCUCCAGGUCCUCCGGUACCUCCUCCUCCGUCGGAGGCUGAAGCCUCUUACUGGCUUCCACCAAAUCCUCCAUUUGCUUUUUGUAAGAGGAGGAGGCCAUCAACGCCUGUGCCUCUGCCAUCAUCUUCUGGAUGGUCUUAAAGUCGGGGCGCACCGACAUCAUCUUAUUAAAGUUGUCUGGAAAGAGCGAAUGAUGAAUUAGUACAAGUGUUGAGAGUUCAGAAUAAAGGGUAAAGACUUCAGUCCAAUUACCUUGGGAUGCCAUCAGAUCGUGAGUAAUGAAGUGGAUGUUCUUUCGGAUCAACCUAUGGUAAGACCUCUUCUUUUGAGUCAGCUGAUAAAUGAUACAUAUGAUUUCAAAGUCCUCGGAUGACAGUUCGCACCGAGGAAGAGCACCUACAAAGGAAAUGUAAAUGUUAGGCACAAUUCGAACCGAAGAGAAAUAUAAGGAAAAACAACUACUAUACUCACUAAGUGUUGAGUACUUCGUCGGGACUGUAAGAGGUGCCAGGGGAUCCCCUCCAUCGUGUCUCAUCGCCCUGCGGCCCAACACCACGAGCUCUUCCAUUCUUUGAUGGAGCUCGACAGAUCGAGCAUGAAUGGAGUGUGGAAACCCCAUGAAGUAAGGCAAUACCAUCCCCGGGUCUUAUCCCUCCCGAUAGUUACCUUAGGUAUAUAAAGGGUCUGGAAGACAGAGAGGGGCAUCUCCACCCCUAAUGACGCUUCUUUCCACAACAUCCAGGAGCCCACCAUUUGGCUCCAGGAGUUCGUAUUGAGUUGCGUCGGGGCUAGCCCAUAGGAUCUAAGCACCAUCCUAAAGAAUGGGUGAACUGACAGCCUAUGUCCGGCCCUAAGGAUCGCCUCGCUAAUGGCCACACAACCCGGCUUAGGGUAGCAGGCUCUCUCUUCCGGCUCGGGAAGGAUCAAAUCUAUGCUAUCAGGGAUCCUAUACUCUAUCCUAAGUCUCUCCAGGUCGGCCUCUCUUAAUUUGGAUGGGUAGUCCAAUGCCCCGCAAUGCACAGAAGUAUCUGCUGGGCUAUCCGGUUGCUUCCAUAUAUUUUUCUCCCUAUUAUUGCCUCGGCUAUUUCUGAGGAGGUCGCCACAAUGGGCUCGUCCAUCCUCACUAGUUCUAACCUCCUCCCCGAACCAAAACUCCCGUCCAAGGCCCUUUUUUCAAUAUUUAAAAGCCCUAAAAGGUACUGAAACUUACGAGUUUGAAGGUUUUCCUAGCCGGAAAUGGUGUAAGGUCGCCAAAAGUUCAAUUUUCUUACCAGAAUUGCUUAGAAAACGUCAGAAAUCGCUAAUGACUUGAGAGCAAAAUAUAUUGUUUAUUUCGCAAGGGUAAAAAGCCUGAGAAAACCUCAGAGUCCUCCUUUUAUAGAAAGACAAAUCCGAUCUUCACCAUCGAAUUCAAAUGCGAUCAAUCUAAGUCGUUCAUCGCAUCUUCAAUCUAGGCCGUUGAAAUGAAAUGCCAGAUUUGAUCUACGCCUAAGAUGUCGCUGUGACAUUCACGCUUGCUUAAAAUGCGUCACCUCAGUUACAACCAAUCGUCAAUAAUAAUAAGUAGCCGCACCAGCCUUUUAGGAGAAUGGGCAUGGCACACAACUGUCACUUUAGAAACACGCAACAGUUGUCAAAUCAUUUGACGUUUGAAUCGCCUCGAAUCGAGCUCCUCACUCAACUUUACAAAGUUUGGACGCACCUGACGCGAAGUCCCUGUGGGUCAUCGCCUCGGACGCUGCGUUCCCUCCCAUACUUUACAAAGUUUUAGCCAUCUCCCAACGCAUCGGCCUAUGGGUCAACGCACCGGUGGUAGAUGAGCUCCUCACUCAACUUUACAAAGCUUGAACGCACAUGACGCGAAGUCCCCUGUGGGUUAUCGCCUUGGACGCUGCGUUAUCUCCCAUGCUUUACAAAACUUUAGCCAUCUCCCAACGCUUCGACCCUGUGGAUCAGCGCACCGGUGGCAGAUGAGCUCCUUAUUCAACUUUACAAAGUUUGGACGCACCUGACGCGAAAUCCCCUGUGGGUUAUCACCUUGGACGCUACGUUACCUCCCAUGCUUUACAAAGUUUUAGCCAUCUCCCAACGCGUCAGCCCUGUGGGUUAGCGCAUCGAUGACAGAUGAGCUCCUUAUUCAACUUUACAAAGUUUGGACGCACCUGACGCGAAGUCCCCUGUGGGUCAUCGCCUCGAACGAUGCGUUCUCUCCCAUGCUUUACAAAGUUUUAGUCAUCUCUCAACGCGUCGGCCCUGUGGGUCAACGCAACGGUGGCAGAUAAGUUCCUCGCUCACCUUCGCAUAGCCUACACACACCUAGCGCGAGCCCCCUCUCGGACAUCGCCUCGGUCGUCAUGUUAACCUCUUUUCCUACUAAUCGUCCCGUCUUGCAGCGCUUCGACCUCACAUCGGUUAUUUUUUCCCUUACACAGUAACGAAACUUUGGCACAUCUGCAUAGGAUCAUGACCUCGAUUACUGCAAAAGAUCAACCCCCAAACUCCCACGAGUCGUGGUCCCCAGUACCGAGACAUAUACAUCCGGUCAGGAAAGGAAGUUCACCCAUGAUAUAAAUAUUCAUACCUGGACUUGGGGACCACUGUUACGCCCCUAUCUGAUCCGCCUCGGAACGCGCACCAUCAUAUAUUCUGACCUGAUAAAGACCCGUCCGAAGUGUUUCUGAAGUGAUAUCAGCAAUGUCUGCAACCUAGUAGCACGCUGCAAAGUACAGGCGAUCCCUACUACUGACCUGACCGAAGCACCUCGCCCUCGAGGUCGAGGCCAAGUAGACCCCGGUUAGAAGAUCCGCCGCCAAUUUCAGAAAGAGAUUUGUGCCAAGAUCCUUCCUGCACCUAAGGUUUAGAUUGAUUUGACGUCUCCAUGAGGCUAGCUGAUGUGACUUAUCAACUUUAUGUCAAUUCAACUCAGGAGAAACAAGCUGUCCGCCCACUCUACAGACGUUGCUGAUUGACGCCUAUGAGCGGACGUCUCAUACCGUCACAUGUAUACACGUGUCCCACAUCCAACGGCUCAUCCCACCUAUAAAUACCCAAAGUUUGGUAAGAGGCAAAGGUAAUGAAACUCUUACUACAUAGCACUCCAUAGCAAGCUUAUAUAUUUCUCCUCCCCCUUAUCAUUAUUUGGCACAACCCCCGAGUACUGUUCCGACCACCUAAACCAAACUUGACCGUCGGAGUGUAUACGACCGCCACCACCCCUGCUGGUCCCGACCAUGUGCGUCUGACCGUUCACUGAUUGUGCGCAGUGAGGAAUACGUGGAGUAACUCUCUGUUGGCCACGUGGAAUGACCAAUUUUCAAGGUCAACAGUCAGCACCCUCGAAACCUCUAUGAUCCGCUUGUGUGAUGUUUUGCUGUAUAAUUGACAUACGUCUUAAAAAGUCGGAUUUUGCAAACUAUAUUUUGUUGGCUCAUCAAAGCUAGCUCCGAGUUCUUCGAUGCACGGAUAUAAUUGAAGAAAGACAACAUUAUUGUCCCAUCCAGCAUCCUAAACAUGCCUUUAACUUGCCUUUGACAGUUGCAAACUAUAUUUUGUUGGCUCAUGAAAGCUAGCUCCGAGUUCUUCGAUGGCACGGACAUGUCCGAUCCAGCAUUCUAACCAUGCCUUUAACUUGCCUUUGACAGUCCAAAUGUGUUGCGACAAUGGCUUUUCCCCUUCUUUUCAGGUUUCCCAACUCACCAAUCACCCCCAAAAGGUUGAAACAGAAAUUAUAACAAAGUUUUCAAUGCUGUUUCCAAAUCCUGCCCAGGCAUUAACGAACUGCGAGUGAACCAAGAUCAAACUCUAGUCCAGAAAGUUCAAUCAGAGUUGAACUGAAAUGUCGAACAAAGAAAAAGCCAAACUAUUCUCAUAUGAACAGCAUUUCCAACUGCCAAAAACAUGCACACACUAGUCAUCACCUAUUUCAAUCACUUUUUCAAAUUCCUAGGACUUUUAACAGUCACAUCUACACUUGCCAGUGUGGCUACCCAAUUCAAUGCCUUGAAUCUGGACUUGCAAGUGUGGCUAUCCAAUGCAUAAGCCUUGCAGGUCUGUAAAAAAACCUGAUCAACAUAUUCAAUGCCUGCAAAUCUAAGGCCCUCGAGAAUUUUUGAACUGCACAUCCAAUUCCAGCUCCAAAUGUGCUAACACAAACAGAACCUGACUUUCAACCAAGCAACGAACAACCCCAUCAGCCAUAUUCAAAGAGUUUGCAAUCACAUAUUCUCAACAAUCAAACUCCAUAAUUAGGUUAAACGAUAAUCAAGGGAAAAUAAUGAAGAUAUAAAAGAUAUAGCAUUUAAAAAGAACACCAAGUACCAGUGUCAUAGAAGCAUAAAGGUUUAACACUGGGAAACAAAUUUCAACAAAGAGUUGGAUCUCUUCAUAACAUGAUACCAAGAAUUUACUGGACGACUCUUAAUAAAACCUACCAUAUUAUAGCAUACUCUAUUAGGUACAGAAACUUAAUUUGCAGAGGCAUAUCACUCAAACGCCCAAGCAUUUUCCCUGCGAAUUUCCUCUUCCUCCUCCGGGGUGAAGUCAUCCUUAAUAUUGAAAAUCUUGCGGAUUUCCUCCGGAGUCUUUCCUUUUAUCAUGUCGGCCACAGUCUGACAUGUGAGGUCGAGCAGACUCUUUAUGUUCAGAUAGUUUGCUGCCUGAAAACGUGAUGUCACUAGUUAGUAGUAGCUAGAGAAAAGAACUGUGAAUCAUACAGAAAAAGCAUUAAAAACACAAGAAUGCCAACAGAGAAAUGAAUAGAUUAUCUUCUAUGUAAAAACAAACAGAUGAAAAUUUGUGAGCAAGAUUACAAGAACAAAAGAAGAACAUGUUUUCAACCCUUCCCAAAGAAAGUUACAUUAUGCAUCUCCAGUUCUGACUUUUGAUGCAGGAAGAUUGCUGUUAUCUUCAAACCACCCGAUCCACAGUAAAAUAAAAAUUUUAACAGAACAAAAAUAGUUUCAUUCCAGUUACUCUACCCAAAGGCUUUAUAUCAUAAGCCUUCAAAUAAAAAUAAGAAUAUAUAAUAAUUAAAUGAAGCCCCACCUCAUACCAAAAUUUCACCAAUACUACAAACAUUAUUCAAGCAAACAAGCCGUCCGUAUUGAUCUACAACCCAGAAAAAAGGGAAAGAAAUGGAUAACCCUUAACUACUGCUUUAUAUAGACAAACUAACAACAGAACAGAGAUCCAUAUGAUAAAUGCAUCUAGAAUAAGAAACCAUUAAAACAGGCAAUAAACAAGUUAUCGAAGAAAUAAAAGCAAACAAAACAGACCCAUGAAUGAUUAAAGUAAAACGGCAACAUGGUAGAAUUAAAAAGGCUCAUGUGAAACAAUAAACAUAGUGAUGAACAAGAAAAAAGGGUGGGCAAAUCGGAAAAAACAGCCAAAUCGAGGUAAGAUAGCCAAACAAUCUAGAGAGACAAGAAUAGAAAAGAGUUGCCACCAAGAUAAGAUCAAACAGGGUGCCCUUAUCAACUUUCACGAAAUCAGCAUCAAACGCCUUCAGCUCCUCGUCGGUCAUCUUGUCAGCUGCAACCAACACUCCGUCAGCGGACUUUGCCGCCACCGCCUCAACAUGUCGCUUGCAGUAUUCAAUCACCUUCGCCAAGAUCUUGGAUGUAACGUUUGGAAGAGGAAUACUAGUAUCAGCGCAGUCGGCUCCAAACAUAUGCUUUAUCGUCUCUAAUUCUAGCGCCACCGCUUCCUCGACCUCGAAAAUCUCACCGUCUAAACUCUUAAGCACAAUCAUCCUUGUCACUGAUUUCGUAAAACCUAAGAGAGAGAGAGAGAGAGACAAAUCUGUAUAGAGAGAAACUGCAGACUCUAGGUUGGAUGAAAUUGAAUACUUGAAAGGUCGACUUAAUUGGAAAAUGCUCCUCUUCCAGGCCUUUUACAGGCCUGGAAGAGGAGCUCCUUUCCCAAAUUUUCUCUCCUCGUUGGUCCACGAUUAAAAAAUACACUCCAAACACCCCACCCUCUUCCCAAAAUGUGAGAGGGGCUGCACUACCAGAUCUCUUACAAAUUUGGUAGUGUAGUAUGAUCGAAUUUAAUUUAUCUAUAUUUUAUAGGCGAAAGAAUGAUCUAACUUGAGAAUUUGUUUGACAUCUAUAUUAAAGGGUUUUUUAAUUUUUUUAAUUAAUUAAUAUAUUUUUUUUUUUUUGGUGAGAAUAAAAUUUGUAUCAAUAAUUUUUCAGUGUUCUAAAAGGCGUAAUAAUGGUGACGCAUGGCGGCAAAUCUAUGGGUUAGGCGAACUUAGGCAAGGCAAAGGCUUAAAAAAAUAUAAAAAUUCGUUUAUUAUUUUAAUAUUAUUUUAAUUUUUAAUUAAUUGAAAAAUCGUUUAAUAAUUAAAAAUAAUACGUGCCAAAUAUCUAAAACAAAUUUAUAAAAAAAAUUAUACAUUUUUCAAAGUUUUUAACAAAAAGAUAAGUUCCAAAUGUAAAUAGUAAAUGAACAAGAAUUUUUGAGAAAUUUCUUUAGUUCAAUACUUCAAGCGAUUAUUUUGAAUUUAAAACCGAUAAAGUGAAGAAAUCAACAUUUAAGUUUUAACUUAGAAAAGUUGUAAAAAAAAUAAAAAAUAAAAAAGAUAAUUAUGCUAGCAUAACUGGGCCUAGGUGCUCAUUAGCGAUCAAUGAUUGCUAUUGAUUAGUAAAUAAGGAAUCAAGCCACUUGGAUUGGAAUUUUCGUCGUAAAUUGCGCAUUGGUAAUGCCUAAGCGUCGUCAAUAUGCGUAUUUUAGAACAGUGUGAUUUUCUAGAGUAUAUGUGAUUAAAAAGCAUGAAAUACUUUUAGGUUUACAUAUAAAAUUAUUUUAUUGAGAGAAUAUAUAAUUUUGAAAUAAACUUUAAAAAAUGAAUUUUCAGAAAAUGGAGCUCAAACAAGAGUUAGUUCUCCAAGACACUUUCUACCUUGAAGAGCAUAUACUGCUAUUUAGAUACUAUCUAUAAAUUUAGUGUGUAAAAUUUUUUAAAUACUCCAAUGAUAUAUAUAAAUUUAAAAAGUAAAAUUUUUAAAUACCCCAACAAUCUAUUUGUCUUUAACAUUUAAGUUUACUAUAUUCAAUGUAUGUUUAUUAUUUUUCUUCAUAUUUUAUUUUCACUAAGGGCCUGUUUGAUUGGUUCGAAUUCCACAUUUUUCCAAUUUUGUGUGUUUGAUAAGUUUUAUUUUCCAUGGGAUUCGAUUUUCAUGCUUGUCUUGGGAAAUGAUAUUUUCUUGGUUUUAAAGGAAAACCAAAUUGGUUUUCCAACCUACUGUUUACGGUUUUUUUUUUUCGAAUUUUUUGUUGGCAAUGGAAACAAAUUUUAAGAAUUAAUGUAAAAAAAUAUUUCACUUUAAUUGGCAAUUUUCAUGUAAAUCAAAGCCAAACGACCACCAAAAGAUAGAUGAUUUUCUUGAUUAUUUUUUUUGUUGUUGUUGGCAAUGGAAACAAAUUUCAUUCCCAAUAUCAGUAAAAUCUAUUUCUUUAAUUGACAAUUUUCAUGUAAAAUAAAGUCAAAGAAACACCAAAAAAUACUUUUAUUUUGACAUUUUCCAUGUGAAAAAUUAUACCAAUCAAACACAAUAAUUUACAAUUCACAGGAGAAAAUUUCUAUGCAAUUCAAUUCUCUAGAAUCCGCUUUCACUUUUAUUCAAUUCUAUCUUUACAAUCAAAUGGACCCUAACUUCCAUUCAAAUUAUUAUAUUAUUUUCCUCAAUUCUCUAUGAUAUAUACUAUUUAGUUGGAUCAAAAUAUGGAGUAUUGAAAAUUGAAAUAUUUUGAAUAAAUUUAAUUAUAGAGAAUGAUUUUGGUUCUCCAAAUUUAGAGAUGCUCUAAGCAUAUUAAGAUGAGUGUAUUCAAUCAAGAUUUUUGAAGAUUUUUAUAGACUUUUUUUAGUGAUGGACUUUUGGGUAAUUCCAAAACAUUUAUAACUUUGUAUGGAGUUAAUGAAAGCAUGCGAUUUUUGUAUAAAACUUUUAUAAAUUUCAUGACUUUUGAAAACUUCACAAUAACAACAAUCAUGUUGAAAAAAUUAUCAAGCAUACAAUUCCUAUGUGCCACAAAAACAACUGGGAACUCAAGUUAGUGAGCAAAGCAAUGGACAUACAUAGCACGUGGGUGCUCUCUUAGAAUUAAAGCUUUCAAAUUAUUGAACUUACCUGACAUAUUACUUGCUCCAUUAUAGUCUUGACCUCUCAGGCUAGAUAUGCUCAACCCAUGUAUAGAAAAUAUUGCAUCAAUUACAUCCUUUAAUGAUUGGGCACAAGUAUUGGUGACAUGGGAAUCAUAUGACUUGAUAGGAGGGCGAAUCCCAAGAUCUAUUAUCAUUCCCCAUCUCCACUUUUCCUCCCUUGUCCACUCUCCAAUCCUUCAGUGAUUGGGCACAUCUAUUAUCAUUUUUCAUCGGUCUUCUUAAUAAGUCCUGUCCAUACGGUUGACAAGGACUCUUCUUCAAGUAUGUCAUUCUAACAUUAUCUCUGAUAUUAGAAUCAUAUGACUCGAUAGGGCAGUAUUCCUGGAUCAAGUACAAGAUCAUCCGCAUUGAAUUGAGCUGAGACUUCUUUGUAUUAUGCAAUAACUUUUGUGCUCGACUAGAAUCAGUGGCAAGACUAGAUACACAACUAGAACUAGAAGAAUUGGAUAUGGACUUUCGUUUCAAUUGAAAAAAUCAUUCCAUAAUUUGAAAAAUGCCACGAUUUAUUUCUCAAUCGAAAUUGAUUAAAAAAGAAUCAAGUACACACAGGUUGAAUUUAGUGGCCAACAACUUCUCAAUUAAAUUUUUUCACAUAUCCUAAUUUCCUAAACGUAAAUUUCCAAAUCAAUAAUUAGAACUCAUAAAAUAUAAAUUACUUAUCAUAACUGACAAUUCGCAAAUAUAAUUUCGCAAACAUAAAUUCCAAAUGAAUAAUCAUUCUCCAUUAAAACAUAAAUUAUUUACUAUAAAUCACAAUUGGCAAACAUAAUUUCGUAAACAUAAAUUCCCAAAUCAAUAAUUAUUAAUUCGCAAACAUAUUUUCGUAAACAUAAAUUCCAAAAUCAAUAAUCAUAACUCAUAAAAUGUAAAUUACUUAUCAUAAUCAAAAUUUGCAAACACAAUUUCGUAAAUAUAAAUUCCCGAAACAAUAAUCAUAACUCAUAAAAUGUAAAUUACUUAUCAUAAAUCACAAUUCGCAAACAUAAUUCAUAAACAUAUAUUCUCGAAACAAUAAUCAUAACUCAUAAAAUGUAAAUUAUUUAUCAUAAAUCACAAUUCGCAAACAUAAUUUCGUAAGCAUAAAUUCUCGAAACAAUAAUCAUAACAUAAUUAGCAUUCAUUACUCAACAUUAACAAGUCAAGUAGCCAACAAAAUUAAACAAAAACAAAAAAGAGAGGGAUAAAGAGUUACCAGGCACAGGACUAGAAGGCAGAAAGCCAGAAAGGGCAGACGACAAUCAUGGUACUCAGACUCAGCUCAGCAGUCGACAACAAAAGUUGCAAAACACGUCGUCUGUGCUGCCUCUUCUUCGAUUUCAAAUGAAAUUAUAGAAUGGAGAUGGAGUAUGCUUGUCUACGCCAUGUGGAUUGGAGAUUGGAGAAGAAAGGAAAAGGGUUUGGCUUUCUUUCAUGAUUUGGGAAAUGGGAUUUUGGAUUCUUGGCUUCCUUUCACGACUUUGCAAACGAUUUGAUAAAUUGGAUCAUUUGUUAUUUUUGUAUGAGAAUUAGGCAAUUGGGCUAAAUAGAAAUAGGCUCAACAAUUACUCACUUCAAGCUUCAGCAGUUCAGCCCCAAAAAAAGGGGGUCGUCUCUUUCUAUCUUCAAUCUUCGUCUUCCAUGAUUCCAUCUCCAGCCGACUCUGCAAUUGCAACUACAACAACAUGAUUGCUAUCGAGCGAUUCUAAAGAUUUCACGGAGCCAGCACACGUGGUCGUGCACCCUCGCUGGGUGCUGGCAUAGCCCCUGAUCAUAAAUCACAAUUCGUAAACAUAAUUUCAUGUACAUAAAUUCCCAAAUUAAUAAUCAUUCGCCAUUUACUUAUCAUAAAUCACAAUUCACAUACAUAGUUUCGUAAACAUAAAUUCCCAAAUCAAUAAUCAUUCCUCAUAAAAAGUAUAAAUUACUUAUAAUAAAUCACAAUUCGCAAACAUAAUUUCGUAAACGUAAAUUCUCGAAUCAAUAAUCAUAACUCAUAAAACGUAAAUUAUGUAUCAUAAAUCACAAUUCGCAAACAUAAUUUCAUUAACAUAAAUUCCCGAAACAAUAAUCAUAACAUAAUUAACAUUCAUUACUCAACAUCAACAAGUCAAGUAGCCAACGAAAUUAAACAAAAAAAAAUGAGGAGAGAGGGAGAAAGAGUCAACAGGCUCGAAACUAGAAGGUAGAAAGCUAGAUAGGGUAGACGGCAAUCACGAUACUCGGACUCGGCUUGACAGUUGACAGCAAAAGCUGUAAAACACAUCGUCUGUGCUGCCUCUUCUUCGAUUUAGAAUGGAAUUAUAGAAUGGAAAUGGAAUCUGCCUGUCUACGUUGUGUGGAUUGGAGAGUGGAGAAGUGAGGACAAGGGUUUGGGUUUUUUUCACGAUUUGGGAAUUGGGAAUAUGGAUUCUUGGCUGCCUUUCACGGCUUUGAAAAUGGUUUGAUAAAUUGAACCACUUGUUAAUUUUAUAUGAGAAUUGGGCAUUUGGGCUAAACAAAAAGAGGCCCAACAAUUACUCACUUCAAGCUUCAAUGGUUCAGACAAAAAAAAAAGCGAAAAAAGAAAAGGGGUCGUCUCUUUCUAUCUUUCAUCUUCGUCUCCCAUGAUUCCAUCUCCGGUCGACUCUGCAACUGCAACUGCCCGAUAGCUACCGGGCGGUUCUAAUGAUUCUGGCUAAGCCAUCACGCAAUGUCGCACCCCCUCAUUGGGUGCUGGCUCCGCGCCUGACUAAAAUAGGUUAAUGUAUAAUUGACUUAUAAGAUCAAUUUUACAUUUAAGAAAUCACUUAUAAAAUAUUUCUUAUAAAUAAUUUUUUUUACUUAAACUAAAAAUUGACUUAUAUACAAAAUAUUCGCUUAUAUAUUAAACAAAAUAAUAUAUUUAAAUCUAAUAUUAUUUUGCCAUUCAAAGUAGAAGUAGAAAGGAAAAAAAACAGAAGUAUAUUAAAUUUUUGGUUGAUACCGAUAUGGAGUAGCAAUUUCAAGUAUGCCAUUGAAUUUUAUUUUUCACAAUCGGAACUUUGAUUUAUUUAUUAUAGCUAAAUCACUUUGUUCAAAUUUAUUAUUAUUUUUUUUUUAAAAUAAAGCUCCAUCACAGUCCCCGUAUGUUCUUUAGGUUCGAAUUUAUCAACUUGACAACUGAAAACAUUGGCAUAAGGAUUGAAUAUAUGUAUACGUUGAAAAUUGUUUAAUACAUAUUAACUCAUUGAAAAUUAAACAAAAAGUUCAAAUUUGAAAUAUUGGCUCGUUAGAAAAUAUAAAAGGAAAAUAAUUGGAAGAACGAUUUUUGCCCAUUUGGUAAAGAAGAAAUAUGAUUUAAUUAAACAACAAAUGACCAACUUUGAGCCAACCCUAUAUUAAUUUUAGUGGUACGAGGUCAAAGCUAUCUCCUCCUUACGAGUUAAUUGUUUCAAUACUUACUGAACUUAUGUCUAUGUAUUCGAUUGCUCAACGAAGUUUAAGAUAUCGAGUUUUAGCUACUGAACUUUGAAAAACAUUUUACUCACUGGCAUAACUUCCGUCUCAAACUUCUAACAAAAUUGAUGACGUGGCUACCAAAAAUCAUAUAAGGCGCUCUAUCACACCGUUAAACUUUGAGAUAGUCGAAUUUUGGCCACUAAACUUUGAAAUGUGUUUUCUAUUGCUCCCUAAUUUUUGAGGUGGUCGAAUUUUGAUAUAGUUGAACUUUGGCUACUGAAAUUUAAAAAAUUUCAGUAUAGUUGAACUUUGGCUACUGAAAUUUAAACAUUUUCUUCCAUUGUUCACUAUAAAUUUGGAUUUAAUUAAGUCUUUGUUUAUUUUCCUUCAAAAACAAAAUACUUUAAUUUUCAUAUUUAUUUUCAACCACACAUUUAUAUAAUAAAAUAUUUUACAAGUAAACUCAAAAAAAAAAUCAAUUUUUUAACCACGCAUUCUCUGAAAAAAAAAUCACUAUUUAAAACCUUUUUUCAAAAAAAAUAAAAAUAGUGGGCAUCAAACAGGGGCUAAAAUUCGAAUUUAACUUAAUUUUAAUAAUAUAUAUAUUGUGUGUUUCAUUGUAAUUAAUAGUCACUUCCUUUUCACAGCUUUACAAGCAUUGUGUAUACCAUUAGGAAUGAUUACUUAAUUACACAGUAGUUAAAUUUUUAAUUUCAAUUUAUUUUUGUAGAAUUUUACGCUAUCAUUGUCAUAAUAUUUGAAGUUUACAAUGAAACAUGCAAGGAAUUUGUUUGUUAAAUAAAAUUAAAUCCAUAUCUUAACAAUGAAUUUGAAUUAAAUCCAAAUUUAAUGUGAGCAAUAGAAGAUGUUUUACAAAGUUGUGCAAAGGAAGUGAAUUACAAUGACAAACACAAUAUAUUUAUUGUUAAAAUUAAAUUCAAUUCAAAAUUUAGCCUCUGUUUGAUAGCUAUUAUUAUUUUAAAAUAAAAAGUUUUAAAUAAUGAUUUUUUGGAUAAUGUGUGGUUAAAAUGUUGAAAAAAAUUUGAGCUUACGUGUAAAAUAUUUUAUUGUAUAAUUGUGUAGUUAAAAAUGAGUAUGAAAAUUAAAUAGUUUUGAUUUAAAGGGAGAUAAACAGAAGCUUAAUUAAAUCCUAAUUUAUAGUGAGCAAUGGAUGACAUUUUUCAAAGUUCAAUAGCCAAAAUUCAAUCACCUCUAAGUUUAGUGUAAAAAAGAAGACAUUUUUCAAAAUUUAACGACCAAAAUUCGACUAUCUCAAAGUUUAAAAGUGUGACAGGCACCACAUGUGCAUUCCAUCAGCCAUUUCAUCAAUUUCGUUAAAAGUUUGGGAUAAAAGUUAUGUCGGUAAAUAAUGUACAACGUGUUUCAAAAUUCAGUAGCCAAAACUCUACAUUUUAAAUUUCAAUGAGCAAUCGAAUACAUAGAUAUAAGUUCAAUAACCAUUGGAACAAUUAACUCCCUCCUAACAUGGGAAUGCAAAAGGUAAUCGUUUUGUUCAAUUUUACGUUGAUUUAACUUUUUAAAUUGCUUUUUUUAAGAAUAUUUUUGCUCACUAAUUUUACUUGAAAAGAUUUCAAAAUUUAGUUCCAUAGCCCCCUUAAUUGGUUUUCUACCAACACAUAAACUCUUUUUAAUUGGUACCUUUUGAAGUCUAAUUUUUCGUUCAUCCAAGUAUCAAUUUUGACAAAUAAAUAUAUGAUUUUAAUUUCUUGUAGAGGAGAACAUAAAUCGGCUUUGAUCUUCUAAAUCGAAGGAACAGAUCCUACUCAAAAUCAUGUCAAAAUAGUCCAAGUCAACACAUAUUUCCAACAAAAAAUAGGGCCAUGAUUUCAAAUUUCUUAUAUUGAAAUAUGCGCAUUUUCAUGAAGAAGUGCAAAAUUGUUCAUAGAUUCGCCUGCAGAACAAUACUUCGAAAAUCAAUUUCAUUUGUCCAAGUUUUUAGAUAUUUUCAAUGUUAAUUAAUGUCUUUUAGUUUCCAUUAAGUUUACCUUGGUCAUAGGUCUAGUUGUACUUGAAUUGUCCAAUUUGGUUUUAGACGUUUUGUUUAGAAGACAAGUGGAUAGAAAGAGGUUCAAAUAUUUAAGCCCCGUUUGGCCCCAAUUUUUUCCAAAUUUUAAUGUUUAGAAUAGUGUUUUUUUAAAGAAUGUGUGGUUGAAAAAAAAAUGAUUUUUUUUCUUUACGUAUAAUAUUAUUUUAUGGAAGAUCGUGUAGUUGAAAAUAAGAGAGAAAAAAAUGAAAGAGAAUGGGAGCUAAAUAUUGUUUUAUUGGCAAUAAUGAACAUGCUUGAAUAAAUUUUGAGUUUUUGGCUUCUUAAAACGAAUAAUUUCUUCUUGUUCUUCACUCAUCUUUGAGUGAGUAUAUCAAUUUAAUUCUUUCACACAUUUUCAAUAGACUUAACAAUAUUCAAGCACCCUAAAUGUCCUGUCCAAGUUUGGGUAAACUAUGACCGCAUCCGAAUUUACCCGAGGGGCAAACUAAGGGAAAAGGCUGCCACUCCUCAUGAUUAGUUGGGCGAAACUCAAACACCAGAGUCAACAAAAAAAAAUCUCAAGCACCUAUUAUAUCAGUUUUAAUUUCUCAUUCAUCGAAGCAUUAUUCUGAUCAUGAGAAUAUAAAAUUUAGAUAUUUUCAUGAAGAACACAAAUCUAAUUUAGCUCUUGUUUGAUAGGGAUUAAAUUCUAGAUUUUGAUCUAUGUCAAAGUCAACAAGUGAUUUUAACCAUAUAUUUCAUAGGAUCAAUAACUCUUCAAUAACAUAUUUCAUCAACUUUUAUUAAAAUUUAUAAAAAAAAAAUAUGAUUUUAAUCCCAACCAUAUAGAAGCUUAAUCUUCCAAAAUCAAGAAUAGGGUUCCACUCAAAUUAUGAUAAAACUAAUCAAUUUCUAACAAUCCUUGCAUGAAUGAAAAUUGAUAGAGACCAUAGAAUACACAAAGGCUUAACAAUAAAGUUUAAUGGUCGAAACUUGCUCAAGUUAUGUAAGCAUUAUCCUUUGAACUUUUCCUUUUUCGAGGUAUUUACUUUACUAAUUGACCAAUGACAACGUCUUUGAACUAUUGUGCCUCUUGUGUAAACAAUGAUGCACCUCACACAAAAUUAUUCUAACACAAUUCGAUUCUCAUUGUUAUGUUCGUUUGUGACAAUGAACAUUUGCCCGAUUCUACGAAGUUUCUUAGAAUUGAGCCCAUGCACAAUUACCUUAGAAGCAAAUAUACUUCUCUUCCACAUAAUUGGUUUCUUAAUUAGGAAUAAUUCUUAUUUCUCUGUUCAGAUUCCUGAUGUAUAAGAAUCUUAUUAAAAGCCUAUUACUUAUCAUUUUGCUUAUAGACAUCAUUGUUACUACACAGGAAUGGAUAUCUGGUAACCCUUAUAGUGAUCCAGUUAAAUCUUUACAAUUAGGCUAUUUCUUUAAACAUAGAACCACUGUUGGUUUACAUUGUAUCAACUCAUUCUUUCAAGGGCUUAAGCACAUUAAUCUCGAUGAUUUCCAACUAACUCCCUAAUCCUUUUAUCAGCUCAUUCACAUGAUUAUCCUUUGACUUCCCAUAGUUAACAGAGCUAACUCUGGUUAAGAAUAUUUAUUUUGUGUUAUUAUGACUACGACGUAUAUCGAAACUUACUGAUAUACAUGUUGCUCUUUGCCCUUCCAAUCACAUAUUGACUAUCACAAUAUAUGCAAACUGUUGGUAGAAGUUUCGACCAUCUCAAGAAUAUUUUUUAAGAAAUAUCAUAGUCAUUCGUAAACUUUGAGUUUUUUAUAUUCGAAAUCCGACUAACAUAACUAUAUCCUUCAAUAACACUUGGGUAUCUAUUAUAGUGCAAGUCAUAGCUACCGGUGUGUCUUAAGUAUUCUACUAAUACUUUUCGUUCUUAGUGGCCAAUGUCUCUAGAUUUUUCUAAAGUUUUGGCUCGACAGUCUUGUACAUAGGACGUGCUAGCACACAAGUUCAGUGACCCAAUGUGCCAAUUUGAUCCGUCUUUGCACACUCCCUACAUGCGUGCAUAAGAGAUAGCAUCUAUGCUGCACAAGAUUGCACAUUCACAAAAAUUGCCCCUAUAUUUAAAAAAAAAAAAAAGGUCUCAUCAUUUUUCCUAACGAGUUUAUUUAUCUUUCCCUUCAAACAAUUUCCAAAUUAAAUGGGGGCACUUUGAGUUUCAAUUUUUCAUUAGCCCAAGCAUUAUUUUGGACAUGUGAGUAUACAAUUUCGAUAUUCUCAUGGAGAAGAACAUAAAUAUAGUUUAAUCUUCCAAAAUCAUUAGGAGUGGGCAAAAAUCGUCCCAACCUAAGUAAACCACCCCACCCGACCCGAACCGAUCGGGUUGGGUCGGUUUUUUUUUUUUUUUUUUGGGGGGUUUUNNNNNNNNNGGUUUGUUUUUUUUUUUUUUUUUUUGGGCGGUUGUCGGUCCAUGGGUUGAGUAAUUGGGUCGGUUCGGUUCAGGUUGUGGGUUAACAUAACAAAACCGACCUGAACUGCCCACUUUAAAAAAAAACACUCAAAAAUGAUGUAAAAGCCCUAAUAUAAACUCUAAGGACACUUCUAACACUUCACUUCUCGUCUGGGUCGUCGGCGUCUUAGCUAUUACCACCGCCGAGUCGCCGACCCAGAUCAACGGCGAUUUCAUCAUCCAAUUUCUUCCUUGCUACUGCUGGUCAUCGUUUUGUCUUAGGGGGGUAAGUAUAUUUCUUCAUUUUCCAAACUCUAUUUCUGUCGUUUUUCUUUUGUUAAGUCAAAAUCUUUGAACCAAACAACAUUGGUCUCUGUCAAUAUAUGUUUCUGUUUGCUUUACUGGGAUGUUUUAUAGCAGCCUAUCUAUAUGGAAAUAGGAUCAAUCAAUUUUAGUUGUUGGCUAAUCUAUCUUUUGCUUGUUUGUGAGGAUGGCUUGAUUGAAAUUUCAAGGAAUACAUUGGUCAGGAUACUCAUAGUGAUUGAUUUUCAUUCUUUUAAUCCAGUAUGAAAUAUGUACACCUUUAAUUAAAAAUUAUGUGUGCAUGGAUAUGCCUAUCUCCUUCCAAAGCAAUUUCACAUUUAGCUCAAAACUUAGGGAAAAGUGAAAUUAUUCUACAUAAACAUGCGCGUGGACAAUUAUUAAUAAGUAUGAUGGACCGUAUGUUGAUAGCAUUCCUUUCUACUCGUGCACCACCAUUUAGUGCCUUAUUAGCUUUUUAAUAAAUUCCUGUCUACUGGAAAAAUGUCCACUGGUAUAUGAGCUACAUCAAUUCAGUGUUGAACUCUCUAACUAGUUUGACAGGGUGCAUGUAAUAACGAAGGCAAAGAUAAGGGUGCGUCUGGAUACUAUGCCUCUAAUAAGGGCAUGACCUUAUUGUUUUAUUCUCGUUCUCUUCUGUUUGUCAGCUGCAGAAUUUCAACUUAUUUUUUAAACAAAACGAGUUUGUAUUUAUGGUGAUUUGUUGCCCCUAUUCCUUUUCUGUCUUCCCUUGUAAAUUUUCUUAGGGAAUUGAAACUUUGAUUUUGAGGAAUGGGGAACCAAAUCUUGCACCUAUCCUUUAUUUCAUACUUAACUGCACACCUGCACAUUUAUCCAGGGCUCUUUUUCUUGGUCUUGCACUUGCCUGCUUAAAAAGAUAAUGCACACAAGUUAAUAUAUUUAUUUUUGUGCAUUCAUGAUUUUUGUGGAAUGUGUUGGUAGUUAUGGAAGAACAUGGCACACAGGCUCAAUUGAAAGAUACUGAUUUGCAAUCUGGUCUUCCUUUACGUGCACCGUCAACAUUGGGUAAAAAAAAAAAAACUAACAGAUUAUCUUCUUUUAUUUGGGAUCACUUCACUCUAUUAGGCUCAAGGGAUGAUCCAAAUGUUAGGUGUAAGUGUAAUUAUUGUGGAGUGGAUUAUGCUUGUGGCACUAAGAAGUGUGGUACUAGUACAUUGAGUAGUCAUUUGACAAAUAAAUGUAAGAAGUAUCCAGAUAGAUUGGUGGAUAAAAAGCAGAAGUCCUUAUCAUUUGAGAACAAAGAAGGUGGAGGGAGCAAUCUUAUUGCUAUUGGUCGAAGCAAAGAAGAGUGUAGAGUUGCAUGUGCUAAAAUGAUAGUUUUGGAUGAACUACCUUUUAGGUUUGUUGAAGCUCGUGGUUUUAGGCUCUUUUGUAGUGUAGCAUGUCCUCAGUUUCAGGCUCCAUCUCGUAGGACUCUAGUAAGAGACAUUUAUCAGUUGUAUUUGGAUGAAAAACUGAAAUUGAGAUAUGUCUUUUCUUUUCACCUUCAAAGGGUUUCCCUUACAACUGAUACUUGGACUUCUAUUCAGAAUGUUAAUUACAUGUCUCCUAUAGCACACUACAUUGGUUCUAAUUGGAUGCUUAAUAAGCGUAUUUUGAAUUUUUAUGUUGUUCCAAAUCAUAGGGGAGAAACUAUUGGAAAAAUGAUUGAGACUUGUUUGCAUGAUUGGGGGAUUGAGAAAAUUUUUGCAAUCACUGUUGAUAAUGUAAGCUCCAAUGACACGGCCAUUUCUUAUCUUAGGCGAAAGGUAGUUGCUUGGGGUAGUGAUGGAUGUGUUCUAGAUGGGAAGUAUUUACACUUGAGAUGUUGUGCACACAUUAUCAAUUUGAUUGUUGGUGAAGGGUUGAGGGAAGCACAUGACUCCAUUGUGAAUGUUCGCAAUGCAAUCAAAUAUGUGAAAUCUUCUCCUUCUAGGUAUGAAAAAUUAAAGGAGUGUGCAAGGAAAGAGAAGAUUGAUUGUAAGUCUAUUGUGUUUUUGGAUGUUCCAACUAGGUGGAACUCUACUUAUUUGAUGUUGGAGAUGGCAUUGAAAUUUGAAAAAGCCUUUUAUAGGUUAGAAGAGAAGGAUGCUCAGUAUUCGUAUUACCUUCGAGAAGAUGAUAGUGGUAGAAGGAGGGGUGGACCUCCGUCAAGUUUAGACUGGGAAAGUGCAUCUAUGUUUGUUAAAUUUCUUAAAAAUUUCUUUGAUGUGACUUUGAUUUUUAGUGAUUCAUUGCGUGUUAGUGCUUGUGCUUAUCUACAUGAAAUUUGUAAUCUUGUAAUCGAAUUGGAUGAAUGGAGAUUAAGUGACAAUUUUUUGUUGGGUGAAAUGUCGGCUAACAUGAAGAAGAAGUUCGACAAGUAUUGAAUAAAAUGGAAAAUGUGAAUUUGUUGUUGCUUAUAGCUACUAUCCUUGAUCCCAAGGUACAAAAUGGAUUAUGUUGAAUAUUAUUUUAGUGAUCUAUACAUGGAUGGGGAUGUUGUUAGUAACGUUAUAAAAUCUUUGAAAGUCAAUCUGAUUGAGUGAUGCUCGCCUUAAUAGAUUUUUGGAAAAACAAGCAGUGAAGGAUUCAAUUGAGAUAAAAAAUGAUGUUGAACGAUACUUAUUGGAUGCUCGUGAAAGCAUAGAGAACACGGAUUUUGAAGUUUUGGAUUGGUGGAAGGUUAAUGGAAAUAAGUAUGGUGUCUUGUCCAAUUUGGCCAAAGAUGUGUUGGCAAUUCAAGUUUCAACUGUUGCUUCAGAGAGUGAAUUUAGUACUGGAGGACGAUACUUGAUCCUUUCCGUAGUUCCUUAAGUCCUAGGAUGGUUGAGGUCUUAAUAUGCACUCAAAAUUGGUUGAAAGCUUCUUCGAACUUGGAUGGUUUUUGCAUGGAAGAUGUUGAGUAUUACAACCAAAUGGAUGAACUUUUAGAUUCAAUCAAUUCAAAAUCAACUGAAGAUGACAAAGAGCCCAAUGCUAAGUGAUUCACUCAUUUUACAAGAUUUCACUUUCCAGGUAAGCAUAUUAGGUGGUAAAUAAUUUCAUGAUUUGUAUGUUUCCAUCAGUUUUCUAAGUUUUGUAAAACUGACUUGUACAGUUUUUUUUUUUUUAUGAUAACAGGUCGGUUAAUAAAACUUUUGCUUCAACAAACAAUGGUUUUUUGACUUUAUCAUGUGCUGCAAAAUGCAAAGACACUAUCCAGCUUAGAGAAUGUAAGUUCUAGAGCUCUAAUAUCGCAAAAUAACUUUUGCUAUACAUUAACAUAAUUGAGAUCACUAAAUAUGCAAUUACAUAUUUGAAAUGCUCUAACUAUGUUUGAAGGAUAUUUUGGCUAAAAGUUCUUACACUUUGUGAGAUGGAUGCUGUUUUGAGUCUAAUUGUGUAGUGAUAAUCAACCUUUUGUAGGACCGAAAAUGUAAAUAAUCCCCAUUCUUGUCUGUAGAAUAUUGUAUUUAUUUGUCAACACUGCAAUUACAUGAUAUGUGACUAAAAGAAGUGGGCAGCUGAAUACCUAUAACAGGACACAUUCAUGUUCUACCAGAAGUCUCCACAGGAGCACUUCCCAUCCCUGAAAUGAUGAAACCUCUUUAUGAUCCUCAAUGUGGUUCUUGCAGGUGUACUGAGAAGCCCAUAAGCUAUAGCUAGUCUUUCACUAUGAUAAAGCAAGGCUCUAUCUUUUGUUUCUUCAUCAAGAUCAUGGGGUACAUAUCCUGUGUCAGGUACAUAAAUAGCUUUCUUCACCUCAUUACUCAACAACCUGAGUUUGAUUAAAGUUGUCUAACAUAUGAUCUAAAUUUACAAUUAAAGUUGUCUGCUCAUGGAUGUCACAACCAAUCCUCACAAGAUAUGACCAAUCCUCACAAGAUAUGCACAAGGAAUAAAAAAAUAAAUAAAAAUAAAAACAAUGAGUGUAGACUCUUGAAUUAUUAUUAUUUAAAUGGAUGGGGACAAAUUCAAACUUUAUUCAAUUAAAAUAAGGUUAUGGAUGAUCAAAACAUAAGGGCGAGUUGACCGACCCACUAGAAAAUUCAUAUGAUCUGGUGCCUAGAGUUAAUUUCGUGCAAGGACCAAAUUCUAUACCUUUUUGUGAUCUUUAUGUUGUAAUGUGGUAAGCCAACCAAAAUCCAUCUAGCCUGGAUUGGAAUUUGUGGACAAAACCACUAAAUUUCUUUUCAACUACUCAAAUAUGUAUGCACUUGAUUUGACCACAUAAACGUCAACUCUUUAGACUGUUCAUUGCAACUUGAUGAUCCUCAUCUCCAUUGAUAAAUAAAAACGUCAAAUGGAGAUAUAUUAAUCUUGUUGGGUGGGGUUAAUUGGGUUGGGUGGGUGAGUGGGGGGUCUUUCUUUUUAUCUGAAAGGCUAAUAAUAAAUUAAUAAUGGAGAGGAAAGAUUAAUAGCAGAGAUUUUUUUAACAACCUUUAUAGGCAUUUUUUCAUGCAGUUGGGAGUGCAAAUUCAUUUUCUUGUUAUAAUAUGAGGCAGUGAUUUCAUUAAGCUCAUCUUUUCAAUCUUGCUGCAAUUUCUGGACCCAUAUUUUGAAUUGUCUUUAUGUACUGAUUCUCCUUGAGUUUCACUGGAUUAACAUGACCCCUACAGAGGAUCCCGAGAAAGCUAUUUUACUUGCAGAAUAAGCAAUGCAACUGUGAUUUGAUAACUGUCUUAAUUGAAUUUUGAUACCAGUCAUCCCAAUUCGAAUUCAGGGCUAUUCAACUAUCUGCAGCCAAGAAAAAUUGACAAAAACUGAGUUGCGACUUGCUGGUAUUUCCCAUACUGCUUUUCAGAUGCAGUGUCCGAUGAAUUAGUUAUGUAGUUGCCACACGUUUAUUAAUUUUCAAGUUUUUUGACAAAGGAUAACCAAAUUAAUUGUAUUUGGGCGAACUUUUAUUUGCAUGGUUGUACGUUGUAUUAAAUAUUAAUUGUAUUCCAGAUAUUUGGAUGACGUGUUGGUGUUAGUUUUGUUUAAACAUAUUAUGGACUAUGGUAAUAAAUUAAACUUUGUUUAAACCGACCAACCCAACCCAACCCGACCGACACUUGAUUGGGUUGGGUUUUAAUAUUUUCAUAGAUUGGGUUGGGUUGGUUUUUGAUCAAACCGACCAUGUUGGGUUGGGUUAGAGUUGGGGUAAAAACCAACCCAACCUAACCCACGCCCACUCCUACUCCUACCCGUAUGUGGCUGUGAGUGAAGCUACACCUAAGCGCACGUUAAAUGCCUGACCCUACCUUUCGAAUAGUCAAUCUAAUUAGCCCCUCACUGUUUUAAAUUUAUUUUAUUUUAUUUUAUGUUUCGUCCCUUUCUUAUUUUAUUAUGUUCUAUUUUAUGAAAAUAUAUGACGCAUGAAACAAUAUAAGAUAUUUUCAAAAUAUUUGUCUUAUACUUGGAGAGUACAUAUUGUGUAAUCUUUCUUGAAUAAUGUAUGUAUCAAUAACAUAAAAGAAUCGGAAAUGCUACACUCGGUGUACAGCCCUCUCAUACGAGGGCAAGGCCUGCGCAUUAAUUGGAUGUGGGUUCUUCCCCUCAUGUGAGGGGAGUAUACAUGGUGUACAUGGGGUUUUAUUCUAAAAAAUAUAUAUAGAAUUUACAAAAUAAAUUUUAUAAAAUUGGACUCUAUGACAAUGUUUUUAAUUUAAAAUAAAAAAAUGGUUUUCACAAAUUACAUUUUACUUGAAACGUUCUUCUAAAUAACUUGUGUUAUUAAUGUUGAAAUGUAAUAUUAAUUUGUCUCUGUUUGGAUAUAUAUAUUCGGUCAUCACAUAUUAAUUGCCAUUACUCUUAGGGCAUGUUUGAUUAACCAUUUUUUUUCCAUGGAACUAGGAAUUGAUUUUCCAACUUUCACUUUUGCAUUGUUUGAUAGCAUUUAUUUUCUUGGCAAAGUGUUUUCUUGUUCCUCCACUCACGCACCUCUUUUCUUGGAUUUUGUGUAAUUCCAAUUCUUGGUACUGUAGCGUAAUUUUUUUAAUGUAAAAUAAAGUCAAACGACCACCAAAAAAUACUUUUAUUUCAACGAAUUUCAUGUGAAAAAUUAUACCAAUCAAACACAAUAAUUUAGAAUUCCUAGGAAAACAAUUUCUAAUUUUCUAGACAAUUCAAUUUCCUGGAAUUCGUUUUCUUUCUAUCCAAAUUUCAUUUUUGCAAUUAAACGAACCCUUAUAUUAUUCACUCAUUUUAUGAGAUCCACUGUUAUUUCUAUUUAUAGCCAUUUAUAAAUUUGCCAAAAGGAGGUUUAAUAAUCUUGUUCAGUCAACCUAAAAAGGUGAGGAGGUCGAAACUUCACUGUUAAAUCAAUUUUACUAUUCAAAGAUAAUGUGAUAUAAUAAGAGUAGCUAAAAUGUCUCACAUCUUAAGUUAUUGAGGUGAUAUACUCAAUUGACUAUCUCGCUAGUUAAAUUAGCACAAAACUUGUUAAGUGGUGCCAUUGUGAUCUAUUGUAUCUACUACAUAACUAAUAUUUCUAUCAUUCUAUGCAUCAUAGACUAUGAUGGGUGUUUAUCAUGCUGACUUUUUUAUUUUUUUUAUUUUUGAUCUGCAUAACAAUUUUCGAUUCAAUCUUAUACGUUCCAAUUUUCGUCUUCUUACCCAACAAAAACUCAUCAGGUUGGUUCUUCUCAAGCCUUCCUUCUAGGACGUAAAUUCUCUAGUCUUCACUAGGUGGCCCCUUCUGCUCCACUUUUUAUCAUCGUCAUUAACACGAUUCAUGUACUUUAAAAUUAUACGCGUCGAGUUGAAAAAUGAUUUGACUUGUUAAUUCUACUUUGUGUGACAUUUGUUUUGCUAUCUCAAUUGAUGAGUCUAAGGUGCCAUGUCAUUUAAAUUUGUUAGUUUAACUACCCAACAAUCAUCUCCAAAAAUAAUUUUAAGAAAUUAAUCUUAAUAAAUACAUAAUUAAUUUGUUCUUAACUAGCACUCUAUUCAAUUUAUAUGUACAUUUAUGCAAGUAGAUCCACAACAAUCAAAAUGUUAAUACCUUAUUAUUGAUUUACUCGUGAAAUUUUAACUUAUUCAAUCGCUAUCAUGUUUACUUUGUUGAUGCAAUCGAAUAGCCCAACAAUUACAUAAUUUUAAGAAAUGAGAAAAUACCAAAUAUAUCCUAGUAAACCCCCAGGAUGAAUAGACAUUAUUAGCACAUGGAAUAUUCAAUAGCAUGUAAGAAGAGAGAUUGAUGAACAAAAUGGACAAUUGAAAUUGCAUUGUCAGCAUUAUCUUAUCCUUAAUUUGUACUGUUCUUGGAUUCAUCUGUUGACAAAUUCUCAUCACAUAUGAAUAUCAUUCAAGACAAAAAUGCAAACAAUUCUUUUUCUGUCAAACAUAUCUCACAAAAAAGAUUGAAAUUGAAAUAGCUGUUUCAAGAAUAAAAUCAGUUUCAAACAUAUCAUUCUUAGCAUCAACUCAAAAUGAUUUCAAGUCAGAAGUUGCAAGCAUUAAGCCCCUAUUCGGGUUUGCUAAAAUCAGUUUCUUGAGUAAAUUUUGAUACAAGUCGAUGAAACGUGUAGUUGAAAAAUUAAUAAAAGUUAUGAAUUACAAAAAUAGGCAUCUUCUGCCUUGAAAAAAACAAUAAUAAUAAUUGAACAGUCAUUGACUUACGUUUUUAUCAAAUUUUUUUAACUAAAUUAAAUAAAGGCUAACAUAUGAACUAGGCUCGCCAUCCCAUAAUUUUCGGUUACGCUUUCUUUUUAUAUUAUUUCUUUGUUAAAGAAGCACUAUCAUUUUCUAGUGAACGUGAGAAUAAUACAAGAGGAUGUUCCUUUCCAAGCACGGCGAGUUAAACAAUAAUCAAUUCUUGCUAAUAUUCUAAGAGGUAGUGGGUCCUUAUCAUUGGUGAUUAGAAGGGUAUAGAGCAUUGUUUAAUUAAAGGCUAAUUGUCGUGGUACGUCUAGGGAUUUGUAGAUAAACUCCAUUUAUUUUAAAUAUGAAUUAGAGCCGUAACAUCUAUAGUCAAUAGAAUUAAUUUGAAUUUGAGAGAGGUAAAUUAAUUUAAUUAAUGAAUAUGAUCGUUCAAAAAUCAAACUCGAGAGACAAAAUUAAAGGUGAUAUUUACGGUGGAAUCGGGAGUCAUAAUAUGUUAACCAUUAUAUUUGAUCAUUUAAUUACUUUUAUUGUCCUUAGUUAAUAUUAAUUUUAACAAAAACUUUGCCACCAAAGUUUGCUUUAUUAAAAAUAGAAAUUGGUUAAUUAUUAAAUAGAUGUCAUUGUGGAAACGAUAAUAAGAACUCUUAAGUUCACUUUACUGGUUGUUCAAUUGACAUCGAAAUCAGAGAUGGAUUUGGGGGGUGGGGGGUUGUCCCUCCCACUCAGGCCCAAGAACUUUUUUUUAAGGUAUUUUUCAUUGUUUUUUUGUGGCGAAAUUUUUUUCCCUCGUAGCAGCUCGAUUUGAAAUUUUAUAGCUUGAUUUUGGAUCUAAUCCUGGAUCCAUUCCUGAUUGUAAUGGAAAUGAUGUUUUAAAUAUACGGGUUACGUGACUAGGAUGGACACAGCUGCAAACAUUCAAUUUAACCAGACAAUUAUGAUGUUUUAAUACAUUUACAUCUACUCAGAGUGCCAAAUGAAGUGAUUCGAUUGCAAUUAAAAUAAUGUUAGGUGAUAUGAUUAUAGUUUCAAUUGCGGAAUAGUAUGUUUGUUACAGAAGUUGCUAUGGUACGGACUAAAUGCGUUAAUUUAGGAAUUUAUUCACAUUUUGGUGAAAGAUAAAUGUUAUAGUUAAUUAUUAAAAUUUCAUGUAUAUUAAAUAGUGUUCUAAAAAGCGCGUUUAGAUGGCACCAAGGGUACAUCUAAGCGCGAUGCUUGAUGAAAACAUGAAGCCACUUCAAGCUUUAUUUAACAAUCAAUGGGAAUCGUUGACUAUUAAUACAUGCCUAGGUGUGAUUAUGCACGCAUUAAAUUUUUCUACAGUUCUUUUAAUUUAAAAUUUAAUGGCCGAUUCUUCACUUCGUCUGCCCUAAGCUCAAAACAACCAUUUGAAGCCUUGAACAAAGGAAAAUUCCUAAAAAUUUAUAUUUAUUUACUAUUUAGUAUUUACGUUUGAAACUUAUCUUUUUGUUAGAAAUUUUAAAAAAUAUAUAAAGGUGCUAUAAAUCUGUUUUAGAUGUUUACUAGGUAUUAUUUUUAAUUUAAAUGAUCUUUCGAUUGGUGAAAAUUAAAAUAAUAUUAAAAUAAGAAAACAUCUUUUUUAUGCUUUUUUAAACUUAUGUCUUGUCUAAGUUCGUCUAAUCCGUAGCUUGACAUCCACACACCGCCACAUAUUACGCUUUUUAGAACAUUAAUAUUAAGCUAAUUAAGUUUUAAAAAAAUAGGAUAAGUCAUAAAAAAAUGACGAAUACAGGAUUUUUCAAAACAAAAGUUUAAAUUCAGGGCCUAGCCUAAUUUUUCCUAUAUAUUUGAAUCAAAAAAGCUGAUCGCGACCCUUUUGAACGGCGGGCGACGUGGCAUCAAAUCGACGCCCUGGGCACACAGAACCAACGUGGCCCUAUCCGUCUAGCAAAACUAUAUUUGAAUUAGGUUAGGUUUCUCAGGGAUGGAAACACACGGAUCCAAUCCUUACCUAUGAGCCAGCCUGACCUAAUUUUGAGGUCUAAAGAAUGAAGGUCCUAACUUAUUUUGGCAACUUACGAUUAUGUGUAUUUUUGACAAGGACUGCAUUCAAUAAAUUACGAUAUUGAAACGUACACCAUCUUAUUCUUAAUAUUGUAUCUUUUUUCUUUUUCUUUUUUCAAAUUGUAAUUAUUUUUAAUUGCAAGCUUGUGCUACUUAUAUAAUAGUGUAUAUUAUUUAUUGAAAUUGUAACUUACACUCCAUGUUAAAUCCUAUUGACUAUUACAAAUAGGAUUGCUUAAUCAUAAGUCACAACUGCGUAUUAUCUAAUUUUUUUAUUUUCGUGCAAUUAUAGACUUUAUUAAUGUCCAUCAAGGAUCCACCAUAAUUCAAAGUAGAGAUCAAACGAGAAACACUAAGAACAAGUCCACGUGCUAUUCUAUAACUAGAAACAAGAAAGAAAAGGUAGCAGCAAAAAACACCAUAAAGAAAAGGUAGCAGCAAAAAACACCAUACUCGACCUAACUGAUUCUUUCCAUUUCCCACCACUCAUCUCUCUUCGAGACAAACUCAUCCUUGGAGGUAUCAACGGCAAACUUGAGGUUCUAAUCCAAGUUAUUAUUAGAAAAAACAAGGCAAUUUUCAUGUUCUACCAUCUGAGGCUGCAAACUAAGAGGAUCUUGUCGCAUCUUCUCAGCCCGAGCCACAGCCAAUUGCAUUUGUAAUUGUGCCGAAUGAUUCUCCAUAAAUAGGAUCUUGACUUCUCUUCGUAAACUGAAAUCCUCCUCUCCGUCCCCAUACAUCCACUGAUCCCUCUCCAAUGUCAGCACCCUCGAAACCUCUAUGAUCCGUUUGUGUGAUGUUUUGCUGUAUGAUUGACAUACGUCUUAAAAAGUCGGAUUUUGCAAACUAUAAUUUGUUGGCUCAUCAAAGCUAGCUCCGAGUUCUUCGAUGCACGGAUAUAAUUGAAGAAAGACAACAUUAUUGUUCCAUCCAGCAUCCUAAACAUGCCUUUAACUUGCCUUUGACAGUUGCAAACUAUAUUUUGUUGGCUCAUCAAAGCUAGCUCCGAGUUCUUCGAUGGCACGGACAUGUCCGAUUCAGCAUUCUAACCAUGCCUUUAACUUGCCUUCGACAGUCCAAAUGUGUUGCGACAAUGGCUUUUCCCCUUCUUUUCAGGUUUCCCAACUGACCCAUCACCCCAAAAGGUUGAAACAGAAAUUAUAACAAAGUUUUCAAUGCUGUUUUCAAAUCCUGCCCAGGCAUUAACGAACUGCGAGUGAACCAAGAUCAAACUCUAGUCCAGAAAGUUCAAUCAGAGUUGAACUGAAAUGUCGAACAAAGAAAAAAGCCAAACUAUUCUCAUAUGAACAGCAUUUCCAACUGCCAAAAACAUGCACACACUAGUCAUCAUCUAUUUCAAUCACUUUUUCAAAUUCCUAGGACUUUUAACAGUCACAUCUACACUUGCCAGUGUGGCUACCCAAUUCAAUGCCUUGAAUCUGGACUUGCAAGUGUGGCUAUCCAAUGCAUAAGCCUUGCAGGUCUGUAAAAAAACCUGAUCAACAUAUUCAAUGCCUGCAAAUCUAAGGCCCUCGAGAAUUUUCGAACUGCACAUCGUAUUCCAGCUCCAAAUGUGCCAACACAAACAGAACCUGACUUUCAACCAAGCAACGAACAACCCCAUCAACCACAUUCACAGAGUUUGCAAUCACAUAUUCUCAACAGUCAAACUCCAUAAUUAGGUUAAACGAUAAUCAAGGGAAAAUAAUGAAGAUGUAAAAGAUAUAGCAUUUAAAAGGAACACCAAGUACCAGUGUCAUAGAAGCAUAAAGGUUUAACACUGGGAAACAAAUUUCAACAAAGAGUUGGAUCUCUUCAUAACAUGAUACCAAGAAUUUACUGGACGACUCUUAGUAAAACCUACCAUAAUAUAGCAUACUCUAUUAGGUACUGAAACUUAAUUUGCAGAGGCAUAUCACUCAAACGCCCAAGCAUUUUCCCUGCGAACUUCCUCUUCCUCCUCCGGGGUGAAGUCAUUCUUAAUAUUGAAAGUCUUGCGGAUUUCCUCCGGAGUCUUUCCUUUUAUCAUGUCGGCCACAGUCUGACAUGUGAGGUCGAGCAGACUCUUUAUGUUCAGAUAGUUUGCUGCCUGAAAAUGUGAUGUCACUAGUUAGUAGUAGCUAGAGAAAAGAACUGUGAAUCAUACAGAAAAAGCAUUAAAAACACAAGAAUGCCAACAGAGAAAUGAAUAGAUUAUCUUCUAUGCAAAAACAAACAGAUGAAAAUUUGUGAGCAAGAUUACAAGAACAAAAGAAGAACAUGUUUUCAACCCUUCCAAAAGAAAGUUACAUUAUGCAUCUCCAGUUCUGACUUUUGAUGCAGGAAGAUUGCUGUUAUCUUCAAACCACCCGAUCCACAGUAAAAUAAAAAUUUUAACAGAACAAAAAUAGUUUGAUUCCAGUUACUCUUCCCAAAGGCUUUAUAUUAUAAGCCUUCAAAUAAAAAUAAGAAUAUAUAAUAAUUAAAUGAAGCCCACCUCAUACCAAAAUUUCACCAAUACUACAAACAUUAUUCAAGCAAACAAGCCGUCUGUAUUGAUCUACAACCCAGAAAGAAGGGAAAGAAAUGGAUAACCCUCAACUACUGCUUUAUAUAGACAAACUAACAACAGAACAGAGAUCCAUAUGAUAAAAGCUAUUCUAUCUGGUAUCCAUAUACAACACCAUGAGGAGAAACAUGUAAAAAUUGAUUGCAAAUAUUGCAGCAAUUAUGUGAAAUUAAUGCAAAAUUAUAAAAGAAAUAGACAGGUUUAUACCAAUAAUUGAAAGAACAGACGACAUAAACGAUUAAAAAUAGAGCAUUGAUAAUCAUGUGAAAAAUGCAUCUAGAAUAAGAAACCAUUAAAACAGGCAAUAAACAAGUUAUCGAAGAAAUAAAAGCAAACAAAACAGACCCAUGAAUGAUUAAAGUAAAACGGCAACAUGGUAGAAUUAAAAAGGCUCAUGUGAAACAAUAAACAUAGAGAUGAACAAGUAAAAAGGGUGGGCAAAUCGGAAAAAACAGCGAAAUCGAGGUAAGAUAGCCAAACAAUCUAGAGAGACAAGAAUAGAAAAGAGUUGCCACCAAGAUAAGAUCAAACAGGGUGCCCUGAUCAACUUUCACGAAAUCAGCAUCAAACGCCUUCAGCUCCUCGUCGGUCAUCUUGUCAGCUGCAACCAACACUCCCUCGGCGGGCUUUGCCGCCACCGCCUCAACAUGGCGCUUGCAGUAUUCAAUUACCUUCGCCAAGAUCUUGGAUGUAACGUUUGGAAGAGGAAUACUAGUAUCAGCGCAGUCGGCUUCAAUCAUAUGCUUUAUCGUCUCUGAUUCUAGCGCCACCACUUCCUCGACCUCGAAAAUCUCACCGUCUGAACUCUUAAGCACAAUCAUCCUUGUCGAAGACAUCGCCGAGAAUUUCAAUCGGACCGAUUUCGUAAAACCUAAGAGAGAGAGAGAGACAAAUCUGUAUACAGAGAAACUGCAGGCUCUAUAGGUAGGAUGAAAUUGAAUACUUGAAAAUUUAAUUUAUCUAUAUUUUAUAGGCGAAAGAAUGAUCUAACUUGAGGAUUUGUUUGACAUCUAUAUUAAAGGGUUUUUUAAUUUUUUAAAAUUAUUUAUUAUUUGUUUUUAUUUUUUUUGGUGAGAAUAAAAUUUGUAUCAAUAAUUUUUCAGUGUUCUACAAGGCGUAACAAUGGUGAUGCGUGGUGGCAAAUCUAUGGGUUAGGCGAACUUAGGCAAGGCAAAGGCUUAAAAAAAUAUAAAAAUUCGUUUAUUAUUUUAAUAUUAUUUUAAUUUUUAAUUAAUUGAAAAAUCGUUUAAUAAUUAAAAAUAAUACGUGCCAAAUAUCUAAAACAAAUUUAUAAAAAAAAUUAUACAUUUUUCAAAGUUCUUAACAAAAAGAUAAGUUCCAAAUGUAAAUAGUAAAUAAACAGGAACUUUUGAAAGAUUUCUUUUGUUCAAUACUUCAAGCGACUAUUUUGAAUUUAAAAUCGACAAAGUGAAAAAAUCAACAUUUAAGUUUUAAUUAAGAAGAAUUGUAAAAAAAAAAGAAGAUUUAAAAAAAAGAUAACUAUGCUAGAAUAACUGUGCCUAGGCGCUCAUUAGAGAUCAAUGAUUGUUGUUGAUUACUAAAUAAGGAAUCAAGCCACUGGGGUUGGCAUUUUCGCAUUGCAUUGCGCAUUGGUAAUGCCUAAGCGUCGUCAAUAUGCGUCUUUUAGAACAAUGUGAUUUUCUAGAGUAUAUGUGAUUAAAAACCAUGAGAUACUUUUAGGUUUACAUAUAAAAUUAUUUUAUUGAGAGAAUAUGUAAUUUUAAAAUAAACUUUAAAAAUGAAUUUUCAAAAAAUGGAGCUCAAACAAGAGGGAGUUCUCCGAGACAUUUUCUACUUUAAAGAGCAUAUACUGCUAUUUAGUUACUAUCUAUAAAUUCAAUGUGUAAAAUUUUUUAAAUACUCCAAUCAUAUAUAUAAAUUUAAAAAGUAAAAAUUUUUAAAUACCCCAACAAUCUAUUUAUCUUUAACAUUUAAGUUUACUUUAUUCGGUGUAUAUUUAUUUUUCUUCAUAUUUUAUUUUCACUAAGGCAUGUUUGAUUGGUUCGAAUUCCAUGGAAAAUGGAAUUUGAAUUCCACCUUUUUCCGAUUUUGUGUGUUUGAUACGUUUUAUUUUCCAUGGAAUUCGAUUUUCUUGCUUGUCUUGGGAAAUGGUAUUUUCUUGGUUUUCCACCCUAUUGUUUUUUUUUUUAAUUUUUUGUUGGCAAUGGAAACAAAUUUUAAGAAUUAUUGUAAAAUUUUUUCACUUUAAUAGGCAAUUUUCAUAUAAAACAAAGUCAAACGAACACCAAAAGAUAGAUGAUUUUUUUGAUUUUUUUUUGGUUGUUAGCAAUGGAAACAAAUUUCAUUCCCAAUAUCAGUAAAAUAUAUCCCUUUAAUUGACAAUUUUUAUGUGAAAUAAAGUCAAACGAACACCAAAAAAUACUUUUAUUUUAACAUUUUUCACGUGAAAAAUUAUACCAAUCAAACACAAUAAUUUACAAUUAAUAGGAAAAUAAUUUCUAGGCAAUUCAAUUCUCUAGAAUUUGUUUUCACUUCAAUUCAAUUUCAUCUUUGCAAUCAAACGGACCGUAGCUUAUUAUAUUAUUUUCCUCAAUUUUCUAUGAUAUAUACUAUUUAGUUGAAUCAAAAUAUGGAGUAUUGAAAAUUAAAAUAUUUUGAAUAAAUUUAAUAAUAGAGAAUGAUUUUGGUUCUCCAAAUUUAGAGAUGUUGUAUUCAAUCAGGAUUUUUGAAGAUUUUUAUAGACUUUUUUAAGUGAUAGACUUUUGGGAAAUUCCAAAACAUUUAUAACUUUGUAUGGAGUUAAUGAAAGCAUGCGAUUUUUGUAUAAAACUUUUAUAAAUUUCAUAUGACUUUUGAAAACUUUCAUUUAAAAAUAUAAUUCACUUUGAUGUAGUGAAAAGUUCUCACAUUUAAAUCAACAAUUAAUUUCAACCACAUAUUUUAUGGAAUCCACAACUUUCCAUCAAUACAUUCAUCAACUUUUAUCAAAAUCACUAAAAAUCUAGUUUUAACCCCCAUACUAUAUAUAUAUAUAUAUAUAUAUUGAUCUUUCACAUAAGGAAAUGAAUAAUAUAAGGAAUAAUUUGAUAUAAGAAUUAUUUGAAUAGAAGAUUGAGAGAAACAAUCAAAAAAGAGAAAAGCGAUAAAAAAUAUAUAUAUAAACAAUAGAAGAAAAUAAUAAUAAUUGAAAUUUUAUUUUUCCACUUUCUUCUUGAAAGUUAAUAUUUUAGAGACUUUUAUAGAAUUCUUCAAAAGUUAUCGACUUUUUUAAUAUCAAAUGACUUAAAAAGUGUUAGGUUAUGACUCAAAUUCCAUAUGAUUUGGAAGUUUGAUCCAUAGAGGAAGCCUAAAUAAUUUUAGUUUGGAAGUAUGAAUUGGUACGAGAUCAAAUUUCAUCAUGAAUUGGGAGUUUGAUUGGGAAAAUGAUUUUGGGAUGGAUGAAAAAGUGUUUUGGAAGCAUUAUGUCUGCUACGGGCCAGUUGUGAGAAAGAGGAAUAGAGGAUGGGAGCCUAGGCGUCGCCUAUUCGAGAAGAAUUGGAUUUUUAUCUCGAUUCUUGUAUUCUAAUUUAUCCAGAACUCCAAAAUUGAGCUAUGAUAAAUACUCCACGAGGUGUAGGCUCUUUAUAGACUCAACAUAACAAUUAGAUCAUUGUUGUAUAUAUUAAAAACUUUAGAAAAUUGUUUAUAUUUAGAUUGAGAGUAUCAAAUUUUGUGAACACAAAUUUAGUUUCUUAGUAUAUUGAAAUUCUCCUCUUCUUCAGCAUAAAUAUUGUGUUCUUGUGUGAUCCUUUAUUUUUCAUAUUGCGCUUAUUUUCUAUUUGUUAAUUAUUUGACUUGAUUCUCAAUAAUUGGGUGUUCUUGUGUGAUCCUUUAUUUUUCAUAUUGCGCUUAUUUUCUAUUUGUUAAUUAUUUGAAUUGAUUCUCAAUAAUUGGUUCUUGAGCUAAGACUUUUGGUAGAUUUUUUGGCAGGUCCAAAUUGGUUAUUAAUGCAAGGUUUUAACAAGGUCAAUUGUUUCAAGGAUGGUAACUAUUAAGUUUGAGAUUCUACUUGUAGAUCUCAUUAGUAGAUUUCUUUGUAGCAGAUAGAGAUACAAGCAGUUCUUGCUCAAUUGAACUUGGAUGAUUCUUUAUUGGGGUAAAUAGAAUGCCCACAAUAAUGAUUGCGAAGGAGAAGCAACGCAUGGAUCGAAAAAGCCCUAUCACAAAUGUAUCUUCAUCUUUCUAAUCAAAUUCUUCUGGAAGUGGUAAAUGAGAAAAGUGCUGCUGGGUUGUAUGAUACUAUUUUCCAUAAUUUAGAUACUCUCACUAUUAAGAGGUAUAUGAUAUGCUUUAUUCUAAGAAGAAAAUGAAACAUGUUAUUGUCGGAUCCAAGGCCUAUAUAAAGGAUCUUGUUAUUCGUGAGAAGAAGACAGAUGGUCAUGGAAUGGGUAGAGUCAAGGAUAGCACGGUGAUAUAUUCUAUUGGUAUUGUAACAAUAAAGGACACAUGAAGAAGAAUUGCUAUAAGUAGCGAAACAAGAAUUAGAAAUGACAAAAAAAUCGUUAAACUGAAUACCCACAGCCCCGUCCCAUUUGAGAUGGGGAUUACCCUUUUAAUCGGGCAUUCGGAUCAGGAAUGGGACGGGACUUUGUCCUGAGGCGAGUGGGGGUAAUAAGGGCCCCGCCCCGUUUAACUUUUUUUUUAAAGAACUCCAUACUUUAAAUGGAAAACUCCUAUAAAUUUCAUUAGUUUUAAUAGAAGGUGUAAAUUAAGAAUAUGACAAACAAUAAUACCCUUAGUUUACCAAUUAUAUUUAAAUAAUUUAACUUUUAAAAAUAAAUAAAUAAAUCAAUCAAAAAAUUUAACAAAUAUAUUAUUAUCUCACUUUAAUGAAUGGGAGCAAUAAAAUGAAUUAUGAAAAACUAAAAAAAAUUAAAUGGGUAGUAAAUGGGGCAAUGGCCAUGCCUUAAACGUGUAACAUGGUUGGAAAUUACACAGCGGGGCGAGGGAGGUUGCCCCGACCCCGACUUGCCCCCCUUGUCAUCCAUAAUGAGAGCAAGUUUGCUACUACAGAUCAAAAGGGACAACCAUAAAAUUUCAGUGAUGACAAUCUUGCAGAAGAAGACUAAAGCGAUGAAGAUCUCUUGGUGAUUACUAUUAGGUGAUUCAAACUCGAUGAGAAUUGGAUUUUUGAUAUGGCUUACACUUUUCAAAUGUGUUCUAAUUGAGAUUGGUUUUCUUCAUAUGAAACAAUUAUAAGGGGUUCCAUGGUAAUGGAAAACAAUGAGCCUUAUAAAAUUGCUGGUAUUAGUAAGGUCGAAAUCAAGAUGUUUGAUGGGAUGAUCAUAACACUUGGUUUAGUGAGACAUGUUCCAGAUUUAAACAUAAAUAUUAUUUCUUCGAGUACUCUUGAUUCAAAAGGGUACAUGUAUACCGAUGAAGAUGGAGUUCUGAAAGUUAGUAAGGGUGUUAGGGUUGUGUUAUAGAAGUGGAGAAAGUCUUAGUUAUAUGUUUUGGAUGGUCUGAUUGUCAUUGUGGAAGCAGUUGUGGCUUAUGGUUUGAUAAAUUUUAACUUAGGUAGAGUUGGUUGUGAUCGAGUUGCUAGUGGUGAUUCGAAUAGGUCUAGUGACUUCGGUGGAGCUAGAAUUGAAUAUGAUGAUUCAAGCAAGGUUGGCGCGCUGGUAGUUCAGCUGUUAUGCAAGGCUUAGAUUUAGUUCACGUUCGUUGAGUAUGCCUGGUAGGGCAUCGUAGAAGAGUUGGAGAAUGGCUUGAAAAAUGAAAUUUUAAUUCAUUGUUACGGAAGUUGUUUCAAGGCUUAGUUUGUUAGGUUGUGACCCAAAUUCCAUAUGAUUUAGAAGUUUGAUUCAUGGGGGAAGCUUAGAUAAUUUUGGUUUGAAAAUCCAGAUUAAUAAAGGAUCAAAUUUCAUCAUAGAUUGGAAGUUUCUUUGGGGAAAGGACUUUGUGAUGGAUGAAAAAUGAAAGGUGUUUUGGAAGCAUUGGGUCUGAAACGGGGUUCCUAGGCGUCAUGAUGCCUAGACGUUGGUAGCGAAAAAGAGAAACAGGGGUUGGGUGCCUAGGCACAAACAGUGAUGCUUCCUAUUGGAAAGAGUUGGAUUUUUAUCGGGACUCUUGUAUUCUACUUCAUCCAAAACUCCAAAUUUAGGCUCCUAUGUACUCUAGAAGGUGUAGGCUCUUUAUAAAUUCAACACAACAAUUAGAUCAUUGUUGUAUACAUUGGAAACUUGAGAGAAUUGUUUAUAUUUAGAUUGAGAAUAUCAAAUCUUGUAAAAAUAAUUUUAAUUUCUUGGUAUGUUGAAAUUCUACUUUCUUCAAUAUAAAUAUUGUGGUAUUGUGUGGUAUAUUAUUUUUGAUAUUGCUCUUAUUUUCUCGCUUUCUAAUUAUUUGGCUCGAAUUCUCAACAUACAAACUUUUAAAAAGUUAUAUUAUUGAAUACACUGAGACUCUUUAAAGUCUAUAUUGAAUACACCAAUGCUUUGAAAGUUUUACAAAGUUUACAUUGAUUUUUGUAAUAAAGUGAAUUUUUGGAAAAUGUGUAGUUAAAACAGAGAAAAAAAUAAUUUUACAUGCAAAAUUAUUUUAUCAAAGGAAUUAGUGGUUAAAAUAAAUUUUUAGAUAACGUGUAUCAAACAAGGGCUAAUAAUUCCUCUUUAUAUCGAGUUCGGGUGAUAAUUACUGUAACUUUAAAAGUUGGAAAUUGCACUGUUUUUUCAAGGAAAUUCAUUUAUUUCCGCAUUAAGCUUCUAUUAGGUAUGGAUGAAAAUUUGAUUUUUGUCCUAGUUUGAUAAUUAUUCUUGCAAAACUUUUUUUAUUACCCAUUUUCAAUCAUACACUCUUGUAAUGAAAUAUUCUUCAUGUAAACCUAAAUUUUUUGCUACUUUUUUAACCACAAAUUGGCGAUUCAAAAACUCAUUCUUUCCAAAAAAAAAAAAAAAAAAAAAAAAAGUGAUUAAAAAAAUCUUUUUUUACAAAAAAAAAAAAAAAAAAAAUAUCAGUCAAACAAGGGCUUAUUAUUGAAUUAAAGUCAACAAUUAAUCUUGACUAUACAUUUCAUGAGAUCCAAAAAAUUUUAACCAUACAUUUCAUUAACUUUUAUCAAAAUUUACCAAAAAUCUAAUUUUAAUCUACAACAUAUAAGGGUGAAGUAUGAAUGUACUAUUGAAAUCUUAACUACCUAUGCCCAAAGUUUUUUAAUUCUUAUAUAGCAUAGGGAGUGUCACAUUUUUUGUUUGUGAGUACUAAACUAUGGUAUUUUGUAAGAUUAAAAUGCUUCUGAGUUUGUACAUUGCAAGCAUAGGGUUGUGCUUUGUGGUAACACCAUCUAUGUUUUGUAUUACAACGGGUCAUUGUACUACGCGAAGAAAGGAUUUUCCAAUAAUUUUACAGAAUACUUGAUGUUAACAGAAUUUAAAAAUUUGUAUUCAAGGAGAAGAUGUAGAAAAUUAUAAGAUUUUUUAUAUAAAGAAUUAGUUGGAUUGAAAUACCAAAAAUUAUUAACAAGUAAAUAAGUUUAUAUAUGAAUAUUCUAAUAAGUUGAAAAUUUUCACUUUAGAAUUAAAAUUUACUAUUUUGAGAUUUUUAGGAUAAAAAUUUACUUUAUAUAUCUAUAUAUACACUUUUAGGGCACAUUUGAUGCAACGUAUUAUUCAUAUGUUGAGAGCUGGAUUUAGACCGGAUUAUUUCAACAUGUCACGAAUAAUAUAAAAAAAAUAGUUGGACUAAAAUUAGGGGCGAAUCCAACGUCGAAGUCCAGCUAGGGCAGAGAUUGACCAUUGACCAUUGACAAUCAACGAUCGUAAUAGUUCAAUCAUUUAUUAAAUUUGAUUAACUAAUAUUAAAAGUUAUUCAAUAUAUAUGUAAAUGAAUUAAAACAUAAAAAUUAUAUACAUAUGAAAAUAUAAUUUAAUACAAUCCAAAAUACUAAAAAAAAAUAUACGAUACAAUCUUACUCUGUAACUGUAAACUUAGAAAACUGCAUUUUAAGGGAUCUCAUAUUUUGAAAAUGUUGCAAUAUUGCCUCAUUCUCAAAUUUUUUAAAAAUAUUUUUUUUGCACAUAAAUUACCAAAUUGUCAUUCAACCAGUCAUCUCCCAUUUUGUUGCGCAAGUCACUCUUGAUUGGAUUCAUAUGAGAAAAUACCCUUUCAACACUUGUAGUUGCCACAAGUAAUAUCAAAACCAAGGUGAUCAAUCUAUAAACCAAUGGAAAAUAACAGGAACUUCUAGUUUCAACCAAUUUUUGAGCUAUACAAGAUAUGCAAUUGAGAUUAAAAAAAUGCUUCGUCCAUUCUCACAAGCAUACAAAACUUGUUAAGUUGAGGUCUAAGUAAUAAAAGCUCUUCACUAUAGAAGUCCAAAGAAUAGAACUGAGCAAAACAUAGCAAUUUAGCCUUAUUAAAAGAUGCCAAUGAAUCUCUUGGAUUUAAAUACGAAAUGCAAGUAAAAAAACUCGGUAGUUGUUUCUGGAAAGCGAUCAUUCAACUCUUGCAAGAUUGAAUCUAUCACAUGACAAUACAAAUCAACAUAAAAGCGAUGAUAAUAAGUCACCUACUGAGCUGCACGUCUAGGUCGACUAAAAUAUGUUUAUCGACACAAAACUCAAUCACCCUACUCAACAAAGUAUCCCAACCAUUGUCUCCCAGGUUCUGCAAUGCACACUUAUACAAAUUUAAUAACCUCAUAGCACUCUGAAUAUUUCGAUUCUUUUUCUGUAAGGUUUGUGAAAGGUUGUCUGUGAUUGCAAGAAUUUCAAACAUAAAUUGGAGAUUGAACACAAACUCAAAAUCUUAUAUAGUGUUCAUCUGUCUUAUGGCCAUUGAUUUUUUAUAUGAAUUUAUGUCAUAUUUUGAUAUAUUCUAAAGAACGUUUAUGAUAACAUUAAAUAUAUUAAUAAAACGAAUAACUGUCAAUAGAUGUGAGUUCCACCAAGUGUCACUUGGGCAUGCUAAACUUAUUUCUUGAAACUGGCCAAUUCUACUAGAAAGUUCCCCAAUAUUAAGUUUCUCCGAAAUAUUAGAAUGAUAACUUAUUUAAAGAGCAUCUAUACACUUACAUGAUGCACCAACCAAAUUCACAAUAACAGCAAUCAUGUUGAAAAAAUUACCAAGCACACAAUUCCGAUGUGCCACAGAAACAACUGCCAACUGAAGUUAGUGAGCAAAGCAAUGGACAUACAUAGCACGUGGGUGCUCUCUUAGAAUUAAAGCUUUCAAACCAUUGAACUUACUUGACAUAUUACUUGCUCCAUCAUAACAUUGACCUCUCAGACUAGAUAUGCUCAAUCCAUGUGUAGAAAACAUUGCAUCAAUGACAUCCUUUAGUGAUUGGACACAAGUAUCGGUGACAUGGGAAUCAUAUGACUUGAUAGGAGGGCGUACCCUAGAUCUAUUAUCAUUCCCCAUCUUCACUUUUCCUCCCUUGUCCACUCUCCAAUCCUCCAGUGAUUGGGCACAUCUAUUAUCAUUUUUCAUCGGUCUUCUUGAUAAGUCAUGUCCAUAUGGUUGACAAGGACCCUUCUUCAAGUAUGCCAUUCUAACAUUAUCUCUGAUAUUAGAAUCAUAUGACUCGACAGGGGGUAUAUUCCUGGAUCAGAUACAAGAUCAUCCAUAUUGAAUUGAGCUCGAGACUUCUUUGUGUUAUGCAAUAACUCUUGUGCUUGACUAGAAUCAGUGGCAGGACUAGAUGCACAACUAGAACUAGAAGAAUUGGAUAUGGAUUUUCAUUUUGAUUGAAAAAAUCGUUCCAUAAUUUGCAAAAUGCACCGAUUUAUUUUUCAAUCAGAAUUGAUUAAAAAGAACCAAGUACACACAGGUUGAAUUUAGUGGCCAACAUCUUCUCAAUUAAAUUUUUUCACAUAUCCUAAUUUCCUAAACGUAAAUUCCCAAAUCAAUAAUUAUAACUCAUAAAAUAUAUAUUACUUAUCAUAACUAACAAUUCGCAAUUAUAAUUUCGUAAACAUAAAUUCCAAAUCAAUAAUCAUUCUCCAUCAAAACAUAAAUUACUUACCGUAAAUCACAAUUGGCAAACAUAAUUUCGUAAGCAUAAAUUCCCAAAUCAAUAAUUAUUAAUUCACAAACAUAUUUUCAUAAACAUAAAUUCCCAAAUCAAUAAUCAUAACUCAUAAAGUGUAAAUUACUUAUCAUAAUCACAAUUUGCAAACACAAUUUCGUAAGUAUAAAUUUUCGAAACAAUAAUCAUAACUCAUAAAAUAUAAAUUACUUAUAAUAAAUCACAAUUCAAAAAUAUAAUUCAUAAACAUAAAUUCCUGAAACAAUAAUCAUAACUCAUAAAACGUAAAUUACUUAUCAUAAAUCACAAUUUGCAAACAUAAUUUCGUAAACAUAAAUUCCCGAAACAAUAAUCAUAACAUAAUUAGCAUUCAUUACUCAACAUUAACAAGUCAAGUAGCCAACAAUAUUAAACAAAAACAAAAACAAAAAAAGAGAGGGAUAAAGAGUUACCAGGCAUAGAACUAGAAGGCAGAAAGCCAGAAAGGGUUGACGGCAGUCAUAGCAUUCAGACUCAGCUCAGCAAUCGACAGCAACCGUUGCAAAACACGUCAUUUGUGCUGCCUCUUCUUCGAUUUCGAAUGAAAUUAUAGAAUGGAGAUGGAGUCUGCUUGUCUGCACCAUGUGUAUUGGAGAUUGGAGAAGAAAGGAAAAGGGUUUGGCUUUCUUUCAUGAUUUGGGAAUUGGGAUUUUGGAUUCUUGGCUGCCUUUCACGACUUUGAAAAUAGUUUGAUAAAUUGGAUCAUUUGUUAAUUUUAUAUGAGAAUUGGGCAAUUGGGCUAAACAAAAAUAGGCUCUACAAUUAUCACUUCAGGCUUCAGCAGUUCAGCCCAAACCAAAAACAAAAAAUAGAAAAAAAAAAAAAGGAAAAAGAAAAGGGGUCAUCUCUUCUAUCUUCAAUCUUCGUCUUCCAUGAUUCCAUCUCCAGCCAGCUCUACAAUUGCAACUCCAACGGCGUGAUUGCUAUCCAGUAAUUCUAAAGAUUUCACGGAGCCAGCACACGUGGUCGUGCACCCUCGCUGGGUGCUGGCAUAGCCCCUGAUCAUAAAUCACAAUUCAUAAACAUAAUUUCAUAUACAUAAAUUCCCAAAUUAAUAAUCAUUCCCCAUUUACUUAUCAUAAAUCACAAUUCACAAACAUUGUUUCGUAAACAUAAAUUUUCAAAUCAAUAAUCAUUCCUUAUUAAAAGUAUAAAUUACUUAUAAUAAAUCACAAUUCGCAAACAUAAUUUCGUAAACAUAAAUUUCCGAAUCAAUAAUCAUGACACAUAAAACGUAAAUUGUGUAUCAUAAAUCACAAUUCGCAAACAUAAUUUCGUUAACAUAAAUUCCCGAAACAAUAAUCACAACAUAAUUAACAUUCAUUACUCAACAUCAACAAGUCAAGUAGCCAACGAAAUUAAACAAAAACAAAACCAGAGGGGGAGAAAAAGUCACCAGGCUCGAAACUAGAAGGUAGAAAGCUAGAUCGGGUAGACGGCAAUCACCGACAGAGGUAGUGGGGGGCAGUGUUGGGCUGUAGCCCAGCACUAUCCCCCAGCCCAUAUAAGUAUUUAAGAUAAAAUUGAAGAAUUUUGGUUCAAGUCAGCAUUAGCCCAGCUCCCCCAUAUAAAUAUCUAAGAUGAAAUUGUAGAACUUUUCCCCAAAUAUUAGCAUUAGCCCAACUUUAGUUUAAAUCUCAACUCGAGUCCAAUGCCCAACUAUUCAAAUUGUAUUAAAGACACUACAAUUAUUAACUACUCUUUUGAUGACAUUCAUGAAAUAUGAAUAUUUUGUUGUUAAAUUAGAUAUUUUAUUUAAUGCGUGUCUAAAUAAAUUUUACUUAUAAUUAUUAAAUAAAUUUUAUUAUAGAUAAUUUGUAUUGUUUACAUCUAAAAGGAAAAUUACUUAUUUUAAUAGUUUGAGAUACAUGUAUUUUUCUAAAUUUAAAAGUAAUUGAUUUUUUUUUUAGUACAUAUGUUUUCAUUUAUUACUAAUACAUUUUUAUAUAAAAAAAUACUUAUUUUGACCAUAAAAUAGAUACAGUGAUCAAAGUUACUAAAAAGUACUCAUUAAAUAGUUUUUUUAAAUUUUCAUUGGUGGAUAUGUAUUUUUGUUUAUUUCAAUCAUGAUUCGGUUAGCUUAUAUUUUAUAAGGUAAGUGUUGAUUUUUUUUUGGUAAAAAAUUUCAAAGACUUAGCUGAAUAUCUUAAUGUGAGACAUCUAAAUUUUUUUUUUUAAUUUCAUUAAUUGUCAUAUACUUUUUAUGGUGAAUGUCACAAAAUAGCCUCCGAAACUUGAUUUCUUAUGGCGUAAAUUCAUUCAAAAAAUUUUAAGUUUCAAUCCAUCCUAACCUAAUUUUCUGGCUCCGCCCCUGACGGCAAUCAUGGCACUCGGACUCGGCUCAACAAUUAACAACAAAAGCUGUAAAACACAUCAUCUGUGCUCCCUCUUCUUCGAUUUAGAAUGGAAUUAUAGAAUGGAAAUGGAAUCUGCCUGUCUGCGCUGUGUGGAUUGGAGAGUGGAGAAGUGAGAAAAAGGGUUUGGGUUUCUUUCACGAUUUGGGAAUUGGGAAUAUGGAUUCUUGGCUGGCUUUCACGACUUUGAAAAUGGUUUGAUAAAUUGAACCGUUUGUUAAUUUUAUAUGAGAAUUGAGCAUUUGGGCUAUACAAAAAUAGGCCCAACAAUUACUCACUUCAGGCUUCAGCAGUUCGGCCCAAACCAAAAAAAAGGGGGUCGUCUCUUUCUAUCUUUUAUCUUCGUCUCCCAUGAUUCCAUCUCCGGUCGACUCUGCGACUGCGACUGCAACUGCAACUACCCAAUUGCUACUCGGCGGUUCUAUGCUGCACCCCCUCAUCGGGUGCUAGCUCCAUGGCUACUAAAAUAGGUUAAUGUAUAAUUGACUUAUAAGAUCAAUUUUACAUUUAAGAAAUCACUUAUAAAAUAUUUCUUAUAAAUCAUUUUUUUCACUUAAACUUAAAAAUGACUUAUAUACAAAAUAUUCGCUUAUAUAUUAAACAAAAUAAUAUAUUUAAUUCUAAUAUUAUUUUGCCAUUCAAAGUAGGAAAAAAAAGUAUAUUAAAUUUUUGGUUGAUACCGAUAUGGAGUAGCAAUUUCAAGUAUGCUAUUGAAUUUUAUUUUUCACUAUCAGAACUUUGAUUUAUUUAUUUAUGGUUAAAUCACUUUGUUCAAAUUUAUUAUUAUUAUUAUUUUUAAAUAAAGCACCAUCACAGUCCCCGUAUGUUCUUUAGGUUUCGAAUUUAUCAACUUGACAAAUGAAAACAUUGGCAUAAGGAUUGAAUAUAUGUAUACGUUGAAAAUUGUUUAUUACAUAUUAGCUCAUUGAUAAUUAAAAAAAAAAAGUUCAAAUUUGAAAUAUUGGCUCGUUAGAAAAUUAAACAAAAGGAAAAUAAUUGUGGUAAAGAAGAAAUAUGAUUUAAUUAAACAACAAAUGACCAACUUUGAGCCAACCCUAUAUUAAUUUUAGUGGUACGAGGUCAAAGCUAUCUCCUCCUUACGAGUUAAUUGUUUCAUACUUACUGAACUUAUGUCUAUGUAUUCGAUUGCUCAAUGAAGUUUAAGAUGUCGAUUUUUGACCACUGAACUUUGAAAAACGUUUUACUCAUUGACAUAACUUCCGUCUCAAACUUCUAACAAAAUUGAUGACGUGGCUGACGAAAUCAUGUGAGGCGCUCUAUCACACCGUUAAACUUUGAGAUAGUCGAAUUUUGGCCACUAAACUUUGAAAUGUGUUUUCUAUUGCUCGCUAAAUUUUGAGGUGGUCAAAUUUUGACCAUUGAACUUUGAUAUAGUUGAACUUUGGCUAUUGAAAUUUGAAAAUUUUCUUCCAUUGCUCACUAUAAAUUUGGAUUUAAUUAAGUCUUUGUUUAUCUUCCUUCAAAAACAAAAUACUUUAAUUUUCAUAUUUAUUUCAACCAUACAUUUAUAUAAUAAAAUAUUUUACAAGUAAACUAAAAAUAAAAAAUAAAAAAUUUAACCACGCUUUCUCUGAAAAAAAUCACUAUUUAAAACCUUUUUUCAAAAAAAAAUAAUGGGCAUCAAACAGGGGCUAAAAUUCGAAUUUAACUUAAUUUUAACAAUAUAUAUAUUGUGUGUUUCAUUGUAAUUAAUAGUCACUUCCUUUUCACAGCUUUACAAGCCUUGUCUAUACCAUUUGGAAUGAUUACUCAAUUACACAGUAGUUAAAUUUUAAUUUUAAUUUUAAUUUAUUUUUGUAGAAUUUUAAGCUAUCAUCGUCAUAAUAUAUGAAGUUUACAAUGAAACAUGCAAGGAAUUUGUUUGUUAAAUAAAAUUAAAUUCAUAUCUUAACAAUGAAUUUGAAUUAAAUCAAAAUUUAAUGUGAGCCUUAACAAUGAAUUUGAAUUAAAUCCAAAUUUAAUGUGAGCAAUAGAAGAUGUUUUACAAAGUUGUGCAAAGGAUGUAAAUUACAAUGAGAAACCCAAUAUAUUUAUUAUUAAAAUCAAAUUAAAUUCAAAAUUUAGCCUCUGUUUGAUGGCCAUUAUUAUUUUAAAAUAAAGAGUUUUAAAUAGUGAUUUUUUGGAUAAUGUGUGGUUAAAAUGUUAAAAAAAUUUUGAAUUUACGUAUAAAAUAUUUUAUUGUAUAAAUGUGCAGUUAAAAAUGAGUAUGAAAUUAAAUAGUUUUGUUUUAAAGAGAGAUAAACAGAAGCUUAAUUAAAUCCUAAUUUAUAGUGAGCAACGGAUGGUAUUUUUCAAAGUUCAAUGACCAAAAUUUGAUCACCUCUAAGUUUAGUGAACAAAAGAAGACAUUUUUUCAAAAUUUAAUGACCAAAAUUCGACUAUCUCAAAGUUUAAAAGUGUGAUGGGCACCACGUGUGCAUUCCGUCAGCCACUUCAUCAAUUUCGUUAGAAGUUUGAGAUAAAAGUUACAUUGGUAAAUAACGUACAACGUGUUUCAAAAUUCAGUGACCAAAACUCUACAUUUUAAAUUUCAAUGAACAAUCAAAUACAUAGAUAUAAGUUCAAUAACUAUUGGAACAAUUAACUCCCUCUUGGGAAUGCAAAAAGUAUGCGUUUUGUUCAAUUUUAAGUUGAUUUAACUUAUUAAAUUGCUUUUUUUAAGAAUAUUUUUGCUCACUAAUUUUACUUGAAAAGAUUGAAAAAUUUAGUUCCAUUGCCAACAAAAAAAAAAAAGGUUAAUUUGCGGAAUAUAAUAUUUGAUCAAUUAAGGAAGAAAAAAUUGGAAAUUAAAAGUGCAAAAAUAUUUAAUCACUAAAAGGAGAAAGAUUUUGCAAACUGAAGCUUUAAGCGCAUUAUAUAUAAAGUGGUAUUUGCCUUCAUUAUUUUCCUACGUGGAAUAAGCCUUAAUUGGUUUUCUACCAACGCAUAAACUCUUUUCAAUUGGUACAUUUUGAACUCUAAUUUCUCGUUCAUCCAAGCAAUAAUUUUGACAAAUAAAUAUAUGAUUUUAAUUUCUUAUAUAGGAGAACAUAAAUCGGCUUUGAUCUUCUGAAUCGAAGGACGGAUAUUACUCAAAAUCAUGUCAAAACAGUCCAAGUCAACACGCAUUUCCAACAAAAAAAUAGGGCCAUGAUUUCAAAUUUCUGAUAUUGAAAUAUGCACAUUUUCAUGAAGAAGUGCAAAAUUGUACAUAGAUUCGCCUGCAGAAAAAUACUUCGAAAAUCAAUUUCAUUUGUCCAAGUUUUUAGAUAUUUUCAAUGUUAAUUAAUGUCUUUUAGUUUCCAUUAAGUUUACCUUGGUCAUAGGUCUAGUUGUACUUGUUGUCCAAUUGGUUUUUGAAGUUUUAUUUAGAAGACAAGUGGAUAGAAGGAGGUUCAAUUAUUUAAGCCCCGUUUGGCCCCAAAUUUUUCCAAAUUCUAAUGUUUAGAAUAGUGUUUUUUUAAAGAAUGUGUGGUUGAAAAAAAAAAUGAAUUUUUUUAUUUACGUAUAAUAUUAUUUUAUGGAAGACCGUGUAAUUGAAAAUAAGAGAGAAAAAAAUGAAAGAGAAUGGGAGCUAAAUAUUGUUUUAUUGGCAAUAAUGAACAUGCCUGAAUAAAUUUUGAGUUUUUGGCUUCUUAAAAUGAAUAAUUUCUUCUUGUUCUUCACUCAUCUUUGAGCGAGUAUAUCAAUUUAAUUCUUUCACACAUUUUCAAUAGACUUAACAAUAUUCAAGCACCCUAAAUGUCCCAUCCAAGUUUGUGUAAGCUAUGACCGCAUCCGAAUUUACCCGAGGGGCGAACCAAGGGCAAAUGCUGCUACUCCUCAUGAUUAGUUAGGCGAAACUCAAAAAAAAAAAAAACAAAAAAACAAAACCCUCGAGCAUCUAUUAUAUCAGUUUAAUUUCUCAUUCGUCGAAGCAUUAUUCUGAUCAUGUGAAUAUAAAAUUUAGAUACUUUCAUGUAGAACACAAAUCUAAUUUAGCCCUUGUUUGACAGGGAUUAAAUUCUAGAUUUUGAUCUAUGUCAAAGUCAACAAGUGAUUUUAACCAUAUAUUUCAUAGGAUCAAUAACUCUUCAAUAACAUAUUUCAUCAACUUUUAUUAAAAUUUAUAAAAAAAAAAUAUGAUUUUAAUCCCAACCACAUAGAAGCUUAAUCUUUCAAAAUCAAGAAUAGGGUUCCACUCAAAUUAUGAUAAAACUAAUCAAUUUCUAACCAUCCUUGCAUGAAUGAGAAUUGAUAGAGACCAUAGAAUACACAAAGGCAUAACAAUAAAGUUUAAUGAUGAAACUUGCACAAAUUAUGUAAGCAUUAUCCUUUGAACUUUUCCUUUGUCGAGGUAUUUAUUUUACUAAUUGACCAGUGACAACUUCUUUGAACUAUUGUGCCUCUUGUGUAAACAAUGAUGCACCUCACACAAAAUUAUUCUAACACAAUUCGAUUCUCAUUGUUAUGUUCGUUUGUGACAAUGAACAUUUGCCCGAUUCUACGAAGUUUCUUAGAAUUGAGCCCAUGCACAAUUACCUUAGAAGCAAAUAUACUUCUCUUCCACAUAAUUGGUUUCUUAAUUAGGCAUAAUUUGUAUUUCUCUGUUCAGAUUCCUGAUGUAUAAGAAUCUUAUUAAAAGUCAAUUACUUAUCAUUUUGCUUAUAGACAUCAUUGUUACUACACAGGAAUGGAUAUCUGGUAACCCCUUAUAGUGAUCCAGUUAAAUCUUUACAAUUGGACUAUUCCUUUAAACAUAGAACUAGGUUGGUUUACAUUGAAUCAACUCAUUCUUACAAGGGCUUAAGCACAUUAAUCUUGAUGAUUUCCAACUAACUCCCUAAUCCUUUUAUCAGCUCAUUCACGUGAUUAUCCUUUGACUUCCCAUAGUUAACAGAGCUAACUCUAGUUAAGAAUAUUUAUUUUAUGGUAUUAUGAAUACGACAUAUAUCGAAACUUACUGAUAUACAUGUUGCUCUUUGCCCUUCCAAUCACAUAUUGACUAUCACAAUAUAUGCAAACUGUUGGUAGAAGUUUCGACCAUCUCUAGAAUAUUUUUUAAGAAAUAUCAUAGUCAUUCAUAAACUUUGAGUCUUUUAUAUUCGAAAUCUGACUAACAUAACUAUAUCCUUCAAUAACACUUGGGUAUCUAUUAUAGUGCAAGUCAUAGCUACCAGUGUAUCUUAAGUAUUCUACUAAUAUUUUUCGUUCUUAGUGGCCAAUGUCUCUAGAUUUUCUAAAGUUUUGGCUCGACAUUCAUGUACAUAGGACGUGCUAGCACACAAGUUUAGUGACCCAAUGUGCCAAUUUGAUCCGUCUUUGCACACUCCCUACACGCGUGCAUAAGAGAUAGUAUCUAUGCUGCACAAGAUUACACAUUCACAAAAAUUGCCCCUAUAUUUUUUUUUAAUAAAAAAAAAAGGUCUCAUCAUUUUUCGUACGUGGAACAAGUUUAUUUAUCUUUCCCUUCAAACAAUUUCCAAAUUAAAUGGGGGCACUUUGAGUUUCAAUUUUUCAUUAGCCCAAGCAUUAUUUUGGACAUGUGAGUAUACAAUUUCGAUAUUCUCAUGGAGAAAAACAUAAAUAUACUUUAAUCUUCCAAAAUCAUUAGGAGUGGGCAAAAACCGACCCAGCCCGAGUAACCGCCUGCCUGACCCGACCCGAACCGACCAGGUUGGGUCGGUUUUUUUUUGUUUUUGUUUUUUGGGCGGUUGUCGGUCCAUGGGUUGAGUAAUUGGGUCGGUUCGAUUUGGGUUGUGGGUUAACAUAACAAAAUCGACCCGAACCGCCCACUUUAAAAGUUAAAAAAAAAACACUCAAAAAUGAUGUAAAAGCCCUAAUCUAAACUCUAAGGACACUUCUAACACUUCACUUCUCGUCUGGGCCGUCGGCGUCUUAGCUAUUACCACCGUCGAGUCGCCGACCCAAAUCAAUGGCGAUUUCGUCAUCCAAUUGCUUCCUUGCUGCUGCUGGUCAUCGUUUUGUCUUAGGGAGGUAAGUAUAUUUCUUCAUUUUCCAAACUCUAUUUCUGUCGUUUUUCUUUUGUUAAGUCAAAAUCUUUGUACCAAACAACAUGGUCUCUGUCAAUAUAUGUUUUCAUUUGCUUUACUGGGAUGUUUUAUGGCAACCUAUGAUCUAUAUGGAAAUAGGAUCAAUCUAUUUUAGUUGUUGGCUAAUCUAUCUUCUACUUGUUUAUGAGGAUGGCUUGAUUGAAAUUUCAAGGAAUACAUUGGUCAGGACACUCAUAGUGAUUGAUUUUCAUUCUUUUAAUACAGUAUAAAAUCUGUACGCCUUUAAUUAAAAAUUAUGUGUGCAUGGAUAAGCCUAUCUCCUUCCAAAGCAAUUUCAUAUUUAGCUCAAAACUUAGGGGAAAGUGAAAUUAUUCUACAUAAACAUGCGCGUGGACAAUUAUUAAUAAGUAUGACGGACCGUAUGUUGAUAGCAUUCCUUUCUAUUCGUGCACCACCAUUUAGUGCCUUAUUACCUUUUUAAUAAAUUCCUGUCGACUGGAAAAAUGUCCACUGGUAUAUUUUGAAUUUUUGUGUCGUUCCAAAUCAUAGGGGAGAAACUAUUGGAAAAAUGAUUGAGACUUGUUUGCAUGAUUGGGGGAUUGAGAAAUUUUUUGCAAUCAUUGUUGAUAAUGUAAGCUCCAAUGACACAGUCAUUUCUUAUCUUAGGCGAAAGGUAGUUGCUUGGGGUAGUGAUGGAUGUGUUCUAGAUGGGAAGUAUUUGCAUUUGAGAUGUUGUGCACACAUUAUCAAUUUGAUCGUUGGUGAAGGGUUGAGGGAAGCACAUGAUUCCAUUGUGAAUGUUCGUAAUGCAAUCAAAUAUGUGAAAUGUUCUCCUACGAGGUAUGAAAAAUUGAAGAAGUGUGCAAGGAAAUAGAAGAUCGAUUGCAAGUCUAUUGUGUUUUUAGAUGUUCCAACUAGGUGGCACUCUACUUAUUUGAUGUUGGAGACGGCAUUGAAAUUUGAAAAAGCUUUUAAUAGGUUAGAAGAGGAGAAUGCUCAGUAUUCGCAUUACUUUCGAGAAGAUGAUAGUGGUAGAAGGAGGGGUGGACCUCCGCCAAGUUUAGAUUGGGAAAGUGCAUCUAUGUUUGUUAAAUUUUAUAAAAAUUUCUUUGAUGUGACUUUGAUUUUUAGUGCUUCAUUGCGUGUUAGUGCUUGCGCUUAUCUGCAUGAAAUUUAUAAUCUUGUCAUCGAAUUGGAUGAGUGGAGAUUAAGUGGAAACUUUUUGUUGGGCGAAAUGGCGACAAACAUGAAGAAGAAGUUUGAUAAGUAUUGGGGUAAAAUGGAAAAUGUGAAUCAAUUGUUGCUUUUUGCUACUAUCCUCGAUCCAAGAUACAAAAUGGAUUAUGUUGAAUAUUGUGUGAAUGAUCUAUAUAUGGAUGGGAAAGUUGUUAGUAAAAUGAUGAAAUCUUUGAAAGCCAAUUUGAUGGAUAUUUAUGAGUGGUAUGUGGGUCAUGAAGGUAUUGAUGGAAGUAGUAAAGUGUCAACUGAGGAGUCUAUAAGUUCUACCAAUACAUGUAAAGGAAGUUAUUCUUCUAUGAGUGAUGCUCGCCUUAAUAGAUUUUUGGAAAAACAAGCAGUGAAGGAUUCAAUUGAGAUAAAAAAUGAUGUUGAACGAUACUUAUUGGAUGCUCGUGAAAGCAUAGAGAACAAGGAUUUUGAAGUUUUGGAUUGGUGGAAGGUUAAUGGAAAAAAGUAUGGUGUCUUGUCCAAUUUGGCCAAAGAUGUGUUGGCAAUUCAAGUUUCAACUGUUGCUUCAGAGAGUGCAUUUAGUGUUGGAGGACGGAUACUUGAUCCUUUCCAUAGUUCCUUAAGUCCUAGGAUGGUUGAGGUCUUAGUAUGCACUCAAAAUUGGUUGAAAGCUUCUCCGAACUUGGAUGGUUUUUGCAUGGAAGAUGUUGAGCAUUACAAUCAAUUCAAAAUCAACUGAAGAUGACCAAGAGCCCAAUGCUAAGUGAUUUACUCAUUUUACAAGAUUUCACUUUUCAGGUAAGCAUAUUAGGUGGUAAAUAAUUUCAUGAUUUGUAUGUUUCCAUCAAUUUUCUAAGUUUUGUAAAAUUGACUUGUACGGUUUUUUUUAUGAUAACAGGUCGGUUAAUAAAACUUUUGCUUCAACAAACAAUGGUUUUUUGACUUUAUCAUGUGCUGCAAAAUGGAAAGACACUAUCCAGCUUAGAGAAUGUAAGUUCUAGAGCUCUAAUAUCGCAAAAUUGCUUUUGCUAUACAUUAAUAUAAUUGAGAUCACUAAAUAUACAAUUACAUAUUUGAAAUGCUCUAACUAUGUUUGAAGGAUAUUUUGGCUAAAAGUUCUUACACUUGGUGAGAUGGAUGCUGUUUUGAGUCUGAUUGUGUAGUGAUAAUCGACCUUUUGUAGGAUCGAAAAUGUAAGUAAUCCCCAUUCUUGUCUGUAGAAUAUUGUAUUUAUUUGUCAACACUGAAUGAAUAAAAUGUAUUUAUUUGUCAACACUGCAAUUACAUGAUAUGUGACUAAAAGAAGUGGGCAGCUGAAUACCCAUAACGGGACACAUUCAUGUUCUACCAGAAGUCUCCACAGGAGCACUUCCCAUCCCUGAAAUGAUGAAACCUCUUUAUGAUCUUCAAUGUGGUUCUUGCAGGUGUACUGAGAAGCCCAUAAGCUAUGGCUAGUCUUUCACUGUGAUAAAGCAAGGCUCUCUCUUUUGUUUCUUCAUCAAGAUCAUGGAGUACAUAUCUUGUAUCAAGUACAUAAAUAGCUUUCUUCACCUCAUUACUCAACAACUUGAGUUUGAUUAAAGUUGUCUAACAUAUGAUCUAAAUUUAUAAUUAAAGUUGUCUGCUGAUGGAUGUCACGACCAAUCCUCACAAGAUAUGCACAAGGAAUAAAAAAAUAAAAAAAAAAAUAAAAACAAUGGGUGUAGACUCUUGAAUUAUUAUUAUUUAAAUGGACGGGGACAAAUUCAAACUUUAUUCAAUUAAAAUAAGGUUAUGGAUGAUCAAAACAUAAGGGCGAGUUGACCGACCCACUAGAAAAUUCAUAUGAUCUGGUGCCUAGAGUUAAUUUCAUGUAAGGACCAAAUUCUAUACUUUUUUGCGAUCUUUGUGUUGUAAUGUGGUAAGCCAACCAAAAUCCGUCAAGCCUGGAUUGGGAUUUGUGGACAAAACCACCAAAUUUCUUUUCAACUACCCAAAUAUAUAUGCACUUGAUUUGACCACAUAAACGUCAACUCUUUAGACUGUUCAUUGCAACUUGAUGAUCCUCAUCUCCAUUGAUAAAUAAAAACGUCAGAUGGAGAUAUAUUAAUCUUGUGGGGUGGGGUUGAUUGGGUUGGGUGGGGGGAGGGAGUCUUUCUUUUUAUUUGAAAGGCUAAUAAUAAAUUAAUAAUGGAGAUGAAAGAUUAAUAGCAGGGAUUUUUUUUAACAACCUUAAUAGGCAUUUUUUCAUGCAGUUGGGAGUGCAAAUUCAAUUUCUUGUUAUAAUGGGAGGCAGUGAUUUCAUUAAGCUCAUCUUUUCAAUCUUGCUGCAGUUUUUGGAUCCAUAUUUUGAACUGUCUUUAUGUACUGAUUCUCCUUGAGUUUCACUGGAUUAACAUGACCCCUACAGAGGAUCCCGAGAAAGCUAUUUUACUUGCAGAAUUAAGCAAUGCAACUGUGAUUUGAUAAUUGUCUUAAUUGAGUUUUGAUACCAGUCAUCCCAAUUCGAAUUCAAGGCUAUUCAACUAUUUGCAGUCAAGAAAAAUUGACAGAAACUGAGUUGCGACUUGCUGGCAUUUCCCAUACUGCUUUUCAGAUGCAGUGUCCAAUGAAUUAGUUAUGUAGCUGCCCCAAGUUUAUUAAUUUUCAAGUUUUUUGACAAUGGAUAACCGAAUUAAUUGUAUUUGGGCGAACUUUUAUUUGCAUGGCUGUACGUCGUAUUAAAUAUUAAUUAUAUUUCAGUUAUUUGGAUGACGUGUUGGUGUUGGUUUUGUUUAAACAUAUUAUGGACUAUGAUAAUAAAUUAAACUUUGUUCAAACCGACCAACCCAACUCAACCCGACCGACACUUGAUUGGGUUGGGUUUUAAUAUUUCCGUAGGUUGGGUUGGGUUGGUUUUUGGUCAAACCGACCAUGUUGGGUUGGGGUAAAAACCGACCCAACCCAACCCACGCCCACCCCUACCCCUACCCGUAUGUGGCUGUGAGUGAAGCUACACCUCAGGCCAUGUUAAAUGCCUGACCCUACUUUCCGAAUAGUCAAUUUAAUUAGCCCCUCACUAUUUUAAAUUUAUUUUAUUUUAUUUUAUGUUUCAUCCCUUUCUUAUUUUAUUAUGUUCUAUUUUAUGAAAAUAUAUGACGCAUGAAACAGUAUAAGAUAUUUUCAAAAUAUUUGUCUUAUACUUGGAGAGUACAUAUUGUGUAAUCUUUCUUCAAUAAUGUAUGUAUCAAUAACAUAAAAGAAUCGAAAAUGCUACACUCGUUGUACAGCCCCCUCAUAUGAGGGCAAGGCCCGCGCAUUAAUUGAAUGUGGGUCCUUCCCCUCAUGUGAGGGGAGUGUACAUGGUGUACAAGGGGUUUUAUUCUAAAAAAUAUAUAUAGAAUUUACAAAAUAAAUUUUAUAAAAUUGGACUCUAUGACAAUGCUAUUAAUUUAAAAUAAAAAAAUGGUUUUCACAAAUUUUGGUAGAUACAUUUUACUUGAAACGUUCUUCUACAUAACUUGUGUUAUUAAUAUAUAUAUAUAUAUAUAUAUAUAUAAUUCCUGAUCUUCAAACUAAAGUUAAGGAAAUGAAAUCUCAAAUUUCAAAACUUGAAAAAAAUGUUCAAGAUAUUCGUAUGGAAGUAGUUUACCUUAAAGCAAAAGACUUAACCAAUGAAUAUUACUCUCAAAAUAAAGGAAAAUCUAAGAUUUCCUCAAAAACUCCUUCACAUCAUUCUCAUCAUUCUGAAUCAUCUUCAUCUGAUUUUUCAUCCACUUCAAAAUUUCCUCAAACUGAAGAAGAAAAGAUUAAUGUUAUUAAUCGAAUUCAACUUCAGAAAUGGUACUGCAAUAUGAUCAUCGUGGUCAAUAAAGAAUUCAAAUUUACUACUCGUGUUCUGAUUGAUUCAGGUGCUGAUCAAAAUUGUAUCAAAGAAGGACUUAUCCCUACAAAAUAUUUUGAGAAAACUACUGAACGCCUAUAUGGUGCUAGUGGUAAAAAACUCAAUAUUAAUUACAAAACCUCAAAAGCCCAUGUUUGUAAUUCAAAUAUUUGCUUCAAAAAUGCUUUUUAUUUGGUAAAAGAUCUGGAUCAAGAUGUUAUUCUUGGUACUCCUUUUAUUGUUCAAAUUUAUCCUUUUAAAGCUGAUUAUAAAGGAUUAACUACAAAAAAUUUUGAAAAGAAAAUUCAUUUUGAAUUUUCAAAUCCCCCUUCUUAUAAAGAUAUUAAUUCUUUAAAGGAAGCUGCAAUUUCAAAAAUCAUUCAUAAUAUCAAUUUAAAAAAGAAUCAUAUUCAGUUUCUCAAAGAAGAAAUUUCUUUUCAAAAAACUAAAAAAAGAUUAGAAGAAGACUCUUCUAUCAAAAACCAAAUUUCAAAUUCACAAAAGAAAAUUGAACAAGAAAUUUGUUCAACCAUUCCAAAUGCUUUUUGGGAUAGGAAGAAACAUAUUGUUUCUCUUCCUUACAAUUCUGAUUUUCAUGAAUCAAAUAUACCUACAAAAUCUCGUCCUAUUCAAAUGAAAAAAGAAUUACUUGAUUUUUGUAUCAAAGAAAUCAAUGAUCUACUUGAGAAGAAUUUAAUUCGUCCAAGUAAAUCUCCAUGGAGUUGUUCUGCAUUUUAUGUUAACAAUUCUGCUGAAAUCGAUCGAGGUGUUCCACGCCUUGUUAUCAACUACAAACCACUCAAUUCUGCUAUUCAAUGGAUUCGUUAUCCAAUCCCUCAGAAGAAAGAUCUUCUGAAUCGUCUUUCAAAAGCUAUCAUCUUUUCAAAAUUUGAUAUGAAGUCAGGAUUCUGGCAAGUUCAAAUUAAAGAAGAAGAUAGAUACAAAACUGCAUUUAAUGUUCCCUUUGGACAAUACGAAUGGAACGUUAUGCCUUUUGGUCUCAAAAAUGCCCCUUCUGAAUUUCAAAAAAUCAUGAAUGAUAUUUUUAAUCCAUAUUCAGAUUUCAUUAUUGUUUACAUUGAUGAUGUUCUUAUUUUUUCAAAAUCUAUUGAACAACACUUUAAGCAUAUUCAUACAUUCAUACAUGUUAUCAAGAAAAAUGGUUUAGCAGUUUCUGCUAAAAAGAUUGUUUUGUUUCAAACAAAAAUUCGUUUUCUUGGUCAUAUUAUUCAAAAUUCUUCAAUUAUUCCAAUUCAAAGAAGUCUUGAUUUUACUGACAAAUUUUCAGAUGAAAUUAAAGAAAAAACAAGUUUGCAACGUUUUUUACGUUGUGUCAAUUAUGUGGCUGAUUUUGUCAAAGAUAUUCGUCAAAUCUGUGCCCCAUUAUUCAAAAGACUACAAAAUAACCAUGACCCAUGGAAUCAUGAGUGUACGCAUGCGGUUCAAAAGGUGAAAAAGUUGGUCAAAAAUAUUCCUUGUCUUUCAAUUCUUGACCCCUCAGCUUCAAUUAUCGUCGAAAUAGAUGCCUCAAACAUAGGAUUCGGUGGUGUGUUAAAACAAUUACCCCUAGGAUCGUCAAAAGAACAGUUAGAUAGAUUUCAUAGUGGAGUCUGGUCUGGAUCUCAAAUCAACUAUUCAACCAUCAAAAAAGAGAUUCUUUCAAUAGUUCUUUGUAUUUCCAAAUUUCAAGAUGAUUUGAUCAAUAAAAAAUUUAUUUUGAAAACCGAUUGCAAAGUUUCAAAAGAUGUUUUACAAAAAGAUGUAAAAAAUCUUGUUUCCAAACAAAUCUUUGCAAGAUGGCAGGCAAUUUUGUCCUGUUUUGACUUCGAAAUUCUAUAUAUUCAAGGAAAAUCAAACUUCUUGGCAGAUUUCCUCACAUGAGAGUUUAUUCAAAAGAGUGAGAAAAAUGAGUUGGGCUAAGAAAGUUGAAGAAGAAGAGGAUUCUCAAAAUCCUUUUCAAAUAAAAACCUCAAGAAAGAAGAAAUGUUCAAUCCCUUUCUUCGAAGAUCCCCCAAAGGAUCAAAAGGAAGCUUCAUCUUCCUCAAACACCCUUUCAACCUUUAUCAAAAAACCUGACCAAAAUAAACUCAAACAAAAAGUUGAGUCUUCAACCCCUUCAAAUUUCAAAAAGGCCGUUCAAAGUUCUAGCAAACUUCCUCAAAUCAACCCUCCAAAUUCUUUCAAAUAUUUUACUAAGAGUAUUUCCGAUGUCGUUCUUACAAUGGAAACCUCUUGGAUCAAUAGAUAUGGUGGUCUUGAUGAUUGUCUUGAAUCAAUUCUCCCUCAAAACUUUUGGUUCAUGCCUUCAAACAUUCAAAAAACCCGAGAUUAUUAUGAAACCAUUCUUCUUUUGACUGGUUCUGGCAUAAUAACUCAUACCCCUGAACCAAGAGAUAAAUCAAAAAUUAUGUUUUCAAAAAUUUCAAUCACAAGAGUUCUAUCUUAUGAAGACUGGGGACAGAAACCUUGGGAAGAAAAGAGACUUCGUCUCUCAAAGACAGAUUUUACCUGUCCAGAAAAUUUCAAUUAUUUUAACUACCAGAAUGCUUGGUAUAAGGUUUUUCUUUUUAGACCUAUUACUCAUUCUUGGUUCAUUAUUUUUAAUCAAAAUUGUAACCCUCAUUUUUCGAGUUGGUUUCAAACAUGGUUCUUGUAUCAUGGACUUGAAGGACAAAUUUUACCCAGUCUAGUUCUUCAAGGAUAUGAAUACUUCAAAAAUGAAGCAAAACCUUUUUUGAAGCUUCAAGAAAAUCUUUUGUUUCAGCUCGCGUUCAAUAUGAAAGUUUCCUGGAUUUUUUGCUAAGAUUUCUUUCAAUAUCAAAAUUUCAAGGAUGACUACUCCUGUCAGCAGAUUACAAGGAGAUUCAAAAUUAAAUGGUGGGCAAAGUUUAAAGAAACAAACUGUUGUCCAAAAGCUGUUCAAGCAUGGAUUCAAGAACAAAGAAAUUUAGGUGUAUCUAAAUUUUCAAAGAAAGAACAAGAAGAUCAAGCUGAUUUUUUUACUGAAAAACAAAGAAUCAUUGCAAUGUUAUCAAAAUGUAAAGAUCCUAAAGAAUUAUUAGAAAUUUAUGAUCAAAUUUCUAAACAAGGAUCUUCAAAAACAAAUGAAUCAGAUCAAGAAGAAGAAUCUUAAUAUUCACAAGAGACUGACAAUGGUGAUGACUUAGUUGACCUAGGCGAUGACUAUGCCGAAUAUCUUGCUCAAGAAAAGGCUGCUAAAGCUUCAAAGAAAAUUUCAAAAUGACUACAUGGACCUAGUUUUCUUGAUGAACUUAGAAACUUCAGGGUCUACAGAUCAAGAGAAAUCCUUCUCAAUCUCUGUCCAAUUCAAAAUCAGUGGUGCAAUUUUUGUCAAGAUACCCAUCAACUUUGUGUCAGACAUCAAUUCCUACUUUAAUAAAGAAGAAAGAUUAUCUUUAUUAAAGGAAGUCAAAAAUUGGAAACUUUUGACUAAAGUUGAUGCUGCUUUUCAAGAUGCUUCAUUAUGAUGUCCUCCACUUCUCUUUUCAAGAUUCUUUCUCUCGAAUGAAAGAAAUUUCAAGUCCGGACUUCAUUAUAAAAGAGUUCAAGAUUUCAUUUCAAAGCAGAGCGAAUUCAGCAAGAAGAAGUUUUACUUUUCUUUGUAAUUUGUUCUCUCAAACACCUUUCAAUUAUUAAUGUAAUAUUUAAAUUUUCUUCAAUUUUCAAUAAAAUUUUCUAUAAAUUUCUGUUCUUCUAGUCUCCUAUUCCCCUGGGUCAUUAAUGGUAUCAGAGCCAUAAGUGAACAAGUGAGAUUAGUUUAAUUUUAUACAAUAGGUACUGUUCAAAAUAGGUGAGUCUGGUUUAAACUUGGAUGCCUGCUGAAUAGACGUUGGUCAGCCCUGUAGACGUUGGUCAGCCGUGUUUGGUGGUCCCGUUGGGUGGUCCCGUUUGUAGGCUUGGUAAGAACCCUGUUUAUCUAUUUUACUGUCUUUAUUGUGUAAUUUUAUUUUGAUUUCAUUUUUUCAAUUAUGUCUUCGGUUUCUAAUUGGCUAAGGAGAUCUAGGUCUAGAAAUAGAUCACAAAAUCAAAAUGAAGAAGAAGUUGACAAUGCAUCAAAUUCAUCUGCAUCUACAUCAAACGAUUUCAAUUCAAAUGAACUUCAAAUUGCCAAAAUUGAACAACAACUUCAAAAUUGGACUAUUCCAAAGAUAGAUAAACAUUCUAUCUAUGAAAUAGGAAAAUUUGAUUUUACUCAAAAUUAUGUUAUCAAAACUUUUGAACAAACUGUUUCAAUUAAUAGUUCAAAUGCAUUCAUCAAUUUAUUCUCAAAAGAAUCAAUUGAAUCUCAUAGAAAGAGAUUUAAAUAUCUUCAUGUUGGUUUAGUUCAAAUUGCUGUCAAACCUUUGUUUAGACUUGGUUUAGACAUUCCAAUUUUAAUCACUCUUAGAGAUAAGAGACAUCUCAAUUUCAAAAAUUCUCUACUUUCACUUCUUGAAUCAAAUCUUGAAAGUGGUCCAGUUUUUUCAAACUGUUAUCCAAAUUUUUCAAUAAAACUUUCAGAUGGAGCAGUUUUAAAUGCUCUAAAUCUUCAUAUUCAAACUCGAAAUCUUGAGUUUGAUAAUAGAUCAAAUGCUUUUGCUGUAAUAUACAGGAUAUACUACAAGCUUAUGAAUACCCAACUCAAUAUUGGUGCUCUUAGAUCUUCUCCAAAAGAAGAAAGUCUUUUGGUUGAAGUUAAUCCUUUUCAUUCAAGUGUAGAAAUUCCUAAAAGAAUUCCCUGGAAUCUUUAAUCCAGAAAUUUAGAAUGGAAUUUUGAAAAUAUUCAAGCUCCAGUUCCAGCUCAAACAAAUUCCACUCCUAAUGAAAUUUUAACUUUUUCCGACGGAAAAGCUAAAGUUAUCUUUCAAGGAUCUCCAUCUAGAAUUUCAAGAUCUAACUCUUCAAGAUCAUCUAGAUCUGAAGAAAGAACUAAGAAUUCUUCUCAACCUCCAAGAAAUUCUACCUCAUCGUCUUUCAAAGGAGUAGAUUUUACUCCUAUUAUUCCAAAUCCUUUUUAUCAACCUAAAGAAAAAGAAGAAGAAACUGAGCAACCAGAGUCUCCUACUUUUUCUAAUAUGGUUCCUCCUUCAAAUUCAGAUUUUGAUCAUCAAUGUAAUGUAAUUUCUUCUGAAAUCGACAGAAGAAAAGAGUUCAAGUAUGAUCAAGAUAUUUAUGUUAAAAAUUUUCAAAAAAUUUUUAGACAUCAAUUUUCUUCAAAAGAGAAAGAACAAUUUUGGGAAGAUUAUCUUGAAUCUUCUACAAAAUUAAGUUUUUAUGAUUGGAUUCAAAUCAAAGUUUUUGGAAAACAACCAGAAAAAUCUCAAAUUUUUACUACAAAAAAUUCUUUAAAACCUUGGAAAACUCCUGACGGAAAUACUUUCCAAUCAAUUCAUCCUCCUUUACAAGAAAUUUCAUUUACCCAUGGUAAAACUGAAAUUCUUGCAUCUCCUCUCAAACGUGUUCCAAAUUCUAAAGAACGACUUGAUGAAUCUCAAGUUGUUGCUAAAGAUAUCAAGAAUAUUCAAGCUCAGAACAAUUUUACUAAUAUUGUUCUUCAAUCUGUUUGUUCUCAACUCAACCGUAUAGAAUCAAAUUCUGAAUCAGAAACUUCUACUGUUCCAAAAGAUUCUUUUAAAGAAUAUCGAGACAGUAAAAGUAAAGAUAAGAAUAUUUCAAAAUCAUCGUCAUCAUCUCCGAUUUUCGAAAAUGACGAUAUUAUUCCUACUUUUGGAAAAUCUUCACAAUCUCUUUCAACAGAAAAUGAAGUUCUUUCAGAACUUGAUAAUCAAUUAAAAAAUUUUCAUGUCUCAAAAAAUAUCAAUACUAUUGAUUUUGAUGAAAUUGAAAAUCAAUUUGUUGAUAAAAAAUUUAAUCAGAUCAACAAACUCAAAAAUUCUGAUUAUCAAAAUCUUCCAAAAUUCUAUCCUCGUCCUUCAUUUCCAGAUCAACUUUUCGAAGAAAAGUUACCCGCUCAAAGAUCAUACGAUGGUUCUUCCGGUGUAAAAUGAAACAUUGAUGGUCUUACUGAACAACAAAUCAUUAAUCUUAUAGGACAAAUGACAAUUUGUUACAAAACCUUUUUGGCAAAAGGAGCUACAAGGCUUCAAGCCACCAAUAAUAUUGUUCUUGGAUUCACAGGACAGCUUGGUCAAUGGUGGGAAAAUUACCUCUCAUCCACUUCAAAAAAUAUUAUUUUUCUACUGUCAAACGUGAUGAAAAUAAUAGUAUUAUUACAAAUGAAAAUGGAGAACCAAUCAAUGAUAGCUAUUCUGUUCUUGGAUUAGCUAUUAUCAAACAUUUUAUAGGUACUCCAGAAAAUUAUAUUCAAUUUCAAAAUGAUAUUCUUAUGAAUUUAAGAUGUCCAAAACUACAAGAUUUUCGAUGGUAUAAAGAUAUGUUUUUAACGCGUAUUAUGCAAAGAGAAGAUUGUCAACAAUCUUUUUGGAAAGAAAAAUUUAUUUCAGGACUUCCAAAACUUUUUGCUGAAAAAGUAAAAAAUUCAAUUUUAGAAGAAAACAAUGACCUUCAAAAUCUUACUUAUGGUGAAAUUAUUAAUUUCAUUAAUAAAGAAGCUCUCAAUUUAUGCAAUGAUUUAAAACUUAAAUCUAAAUUGAAAGCAGAAAAGGCUCAAACUCAAAAUGAGUUAGGAUCUUUCUGUGAACAAUAUGGAUUUGAGAAAGUUUUACCUCCUUCUUCAAAAUCAAGAAAAAUCUUUCAUAAAAAACGAUUUUCAAAAAGAAAAUAUUCUCCUGAAGAAAAUUUUCAUAAAAAGAAAUUUUCAAAAAGAAAACAAUUUUCUAAAAGAAAAUUUACAAAAGAUUUUCAAAAGAAAAAUUCAAAAGUUACAUGUUGGAAAUGUAACAAAACAGGUCAUUUUUCCAAUAGAUGCCCUCUCAAAGAGAAAAUUAGUACUCUUCAAGUUGACGAAGAUACUAAAUUCAGCUUCUCAAUCUUAUUCAAUCUAGUUCUGAUAAUGAGUCUAACUCUAAAUUAGAACAAGUUUUUCUCAAUCAAGAAGAUUUUGAUUAUGAAUCUACUCAAAAUUCUGAUUCUUGCACUUCUUCAAAUGAUAAAGAAAUUUGUGGUUGUAAAACUAUAAAUGUCUUAACAGAAAAAGAAGAAAUUAUUCAUAAUAUCAUUGAUAGGAUUGAUAAUCCUAAACUCAAAGAAAAAUUUUCAUCUUUGCUUUCUUCCUCUACAUCAAAAGAAAAUUUUGAUAUAUUCGGUCAUCACAUAUUAAUUACCAUUACUCUUAGGGCCUGUUUGAUUAACCAUUUUUUUCCAUGGAACUAGGAACUGAUUUCCAACUUCCACUUUUGCAUUGUUUGAUAGCAUUUAUUUUCUUGGCAAAGUGUUUUCUUGUUCCUCCACUCACGCACCUCUUUUCUUGGAUUUUGUGGAAUUGGAAUAAUUCCAAUUCUUGGUACUGUAGCGUAAAUUUUUUUUUCUGGCAAUGGAAAUAAAUUUCAAGAAUUAUUGUAAAAAAAAUUCCCUUAAAUUGAAAAUUUUCGUGUAAAUCAAAGCCAAACGAAUAUCAAAAGAUAGAUGAUUUUUUUGAACUUUUUUAUUUUUUAUUUUUUUUGCAAUGGAAACAAAUUUUAUCUCCAAUACCGAUAAAAUUUAUCACUUUAAUUGAUAAUUUUAAUGUAAAAUAAAGUCAAACGAACACCAAAAAACACUUUUAUUUCAACAAAUUCCACGUGAAAAAUUAUACCAAUCAAACACAAUAAUUUAGAAUUCCUAGGAAAACAAUUUCUAAUUUUCUAGACAAUUCAAUUUCUUGGAAUUCAUUUUCUUUCCAUCCAAAUUUCAUUUUUGUAAUUAAACGAACCCUUAUACUAUUCACUCAUUUUAUGAGAUCCAAUGUUAUUUCUAUUUAUAGCCAUUUAUAAAUUUGCCAAAAGGAGCUUUAAUAAUCUUGUUCAGCCAACCUAAAAAGGUGAGGAGGUCGAAACUUCACUGUCAAAUCAAUUUUACUAUUCCAAGAUAAUGUUAUAUAAUAAGAGUAGCUAAAAUGUCUCACAUCUUAAGUUAUUGAGAUGAUAUACUCAAUUGACUAUCUCGCUCGUUAAAUUAGCACAAAACUUGUUAAGUGGUGCCAUUGUGAUCUAUUGUAUCUAAUACAUAACUAAUAUUUCUAUCAUUCUAUGCAUCAUAGACUAUGAUGGGUGUUUAUCAUGCUGACUUUUUUCUUUUUUCCCUUUUUUUUUUGUCUUUUUGAUCUGCGUAACAAUUUUCGAUUCAAUCUUAUACGUUCCAAUUUUCGUCUUCUUACCCAACAAAAACUCAUUAGGUUGGUUCUUCUCAAGCCUUCCUUAUAGGAUGUAAAUUCUCUAGUCUUCACUAGUUGGCCUCUUCUGCUCCACUUUUUAUCAUCGUCAUUCACACGAUUCAUGUAAUUUUAAAGUUAUACGCGUCGAGUUGAAAAAUGAUUUGACUUGUUAUUUCUACUUUGUGUGACAUUUGUUUUGCUAUCUCAAUUGAUGAGUCUAAGGUGCCAUGUCAUUUAAAUUUGUUAGUUUAACUACCCAACAAUCAUCUCCAAAAAUAAUUUUUAGAAAUUAAUCUUAAUAAAUACAUAAUUAAUUUGUUCUUAACUAGCACUCUAUUCAAUUUAUAUGUACAUUUAUGCAAGUAGAUCCACAACAAUCAAAAUGUUAAUACCUUAUUAUUGAUUUACUCGUGAAAUUUUAACUUAUUCAAUCGCUAUCAUGUUUACUUUGUUGAUGCAAUCGAAUAGCCCAACAAUUACAUAAUUUUAAGAAAUGAGAAAAUACCAAACAUAUCCUAGUAAACCCCCAGGAUGAAUAGACAUUAUUAGCACAUGGAAUAUUCAAUAGCAUGUACGAAGAGAGAUUGAUGAACAAAAUGGACAAUUGAAAUUGCAUUGUCAGCAUUAUCUUAUCCUUAAUUUGUACUGUUCUUGGAUUCAUCUCUUGACAAAUUCUCAUCACAUAAGAAUAUCAUUCAAGACAAAAAUGCAAACAAUUCUUUUUCUGUCAAACAUAUCUCACAAAAAAGAUUGAAAUUGAAAUAGCUGUUUCAAGAAUAAAAUCAGUUUCAAACAUAUCAUUCUUAGCAUCAACUCAAAAUGAUUUCAAGUUAGAAGUUGCAAGCAUUAAGCCCCUAUUCGGGUUUGCUAAAAUCAAUUUCUUGAGUAAAUUUUGAUACAAGUCGAUGAAACGUGUAGUUGAAAAGUUGAUAAAAGUUAUGAAUUACAAAAAUGAGAGAAUCUUAGGCUUCAGACCAAGAUGCUAAGAUAUUGUCGUAAUUCACCCGGUAUCUCAAUUUGUAACAUCUAUGAGUAAAGUAACUUGCUCCUCCCAUGUCAUACUCAAGACGAGAAGAUAGAGUUCCUAUUUCACAAGCCUUCUCUAGCACACCUACGAUAUCUUGGAUAAUUAAUUCUUGUCUCAUAGGCAAAUAUAUAUUUUAAAAGAAAAAAAGAAAGAAAAUUUCUAGGUGUUUUCUUGAUUUACGGAUGGGAUGAAUGCCUACAUCCUCUUUACAAUUGACUUAUGGUUCAUUUCCUAAUUUUACUCUAUUAGAGAUAUCAUUUUCCUUGAUAGGAAAUAGGCAUCUUCUGCCUUGAAAAAAACAAUAAUAAUAAUUGAAUAGUCAUUGACUUACGUUUUUAUCAAAUUUUUUUAACUAAAUUAAAUAAAUGCUAACAUAUGAACUAGGCUCACCAUCCCAUAAUUUUCGGUUACGCUUUCUUUUUAUAUUAUUUAUUUGUUAAAGAAGCACUAUCAUUUUCUAGUGAAAGUGAGAAUAAUCCAAGAGGAUGUUCCUUUCCAAGCACGUCGAGUUAAACAAUAAUCAAUUCUUGCUAAUAUUCUAAGAGGUAGUGGGUCCUUAUCAUUGCUGAUUAGAAGGUUAUAGAGCAUUGUUUAAUUAAAGGCUAAUUGUCGUGGUACGUCUAGGGAUUUGUAGAUAAACUCCAUUAAUUUUAAAUAUGAAUUAGAGCCGUAACAUCUAUAGUCAAUAGAAUUAAUUUGAAUUUGAGAUAGGUAAAUUAAUUUAAUUAAUGAAUAUGAUCGUUCAAAAAUCAAACUCGAGAGGCAAGAUUAAAGGUGAUAUUUAUGGUGGAAUCGGGAGUCAUUAUACGUUAACCAUCAUAUUUGAUCAUUUAAUUACUUUUAUUGUCCUUAGUUAAUAUUAAUUUUAAUAAAAACUUUGCCACCAAAGUUUGCUUUAUUAAAAAUAGAAAUUGGUUAAUUAUUAAAUAGAUGUCAUUGUGGAAACGAUAAUAAGAACUUUUAAGUUCACUUUACUGGUUGUUCAAUUGACAUCAUAAUCAGAGAUGGAUUUUUCUGGGGGGGAGGGGGGGUUGUAGUCCCUCUCACUCAGGCCCAAGAACAUUUUUUUAAGGUAUUUUUCAUUUUUUUAUGUGUAAAUUUGUUUCCCGCGUAGCAGCCCGAUUUAAAAUUUUGCAGCUCGAUUUUGGAUUCAAUCCUAGAUCCGUCCCUGAUCGUAAUGGAAAUGAUGUUUUAAAUAUACGGGUUACGUGACUAGGAUGGACACAGCUGCAAACAUUCAAUUUAACCAGACAAUUAUGAUGUUUUAAUACAUUUACAUCUACUCAGAGUGCCAAAUGAAGUGAUUCGAUUGCAAUUAAAAUAAUGUUAGGUGAUAUGAUUAUAGUUUCAAUUGCGGAGUAGUAUGUUCGUUACAGAAGUUGUUAUGGUACGGACUAAAUGCGUUAAUUUAGGAAUUUAUUCCCAUUUUGGUGAAAGGUAAAUGUUAUAGUUAAUUAUUAAAAUUUCGUGUAUAUUAAAUAGUGUUCUAAAAAGCGCGUUUAGAUGGCACCAAGGCUACAUCUAAGCGCGAUGCAUGGCGAAAACGUCAAGCCACUUCAAGCUUUAUUUAAUGGUCAAUGGGAAUCGAUGACUAUUAAUACAUGCUUAUGUGUGAUUAUGCACGCAUUAAAUUUUUCUACAAUUCUUUUAAUUUAAAAUUUAAUGGCCGAUUCUUCACUUCGUCUGUCCUAAGCUCAAAACAGCCAUUUGAAGCCUUGAACAAAUGAGAAUUCCUAAAAAUUUAUAUUUAUUUACUAUUUAGUAUUUACGUUUGAAACUUAUCUUUUUGUUAGAAAUUUUAAAAAACAUAUAAAGGUGCUAUAAAUCCGUUUUAGGUGUUUAAUAGGUAUUAUUUUUAAUUUAAAUGAUUUUUCGAUUGGUGAAAAUUAAAAUAAUAUUAAAAUAAGAAAACAUCUUUUUUAUGCUUUUUUAAACUUAUGCCUUGUCUAACUUCGUCUAAUCCGUAGCUUGACAUCCACGCACCGCCACAUAUUACGCUUUUUAGAACAUUAAUGUUAAGCUAAUUAAGUUUUAAAAAAUAGGAUAAGUCAUAAAAAAAAUAAAAAUGACGAAUACAGGAUUUUUCAAAACAAAAGUUUAAAUUCAGGGCCUAGCCUAAUUUUCCCUAUAUAUUUGAAUCAAAAAAGCUGAUCGCGACCCUUUUGAACGGCGGGCGAUGUGGCGUCAAAUCGACGCCCUGGGCACACAGGCCGACGUGGCCCUAUCCGUCUAGCAAAACUAUAUUUGAAUCAGGUUAGAUUUCCCAGGGAUGGAAACACACGGAUCCAAUCCUUGCCUAUGAGCCAACUUGACCUAAUUUUGAGGUCUAAAGAAUGAAGGUCCUAACUUAUUUUGGCAACUUACGAUUAUUUAUAUUUUUGACAAGGACUGCAUUCAAUAAAUUACUAUAUUGAAACGUACACCAUGAUAUUCUUAAUAUUGUAUCUUUUUUCUUUUCUUUUUUGAAAUUGUAAUUAUUUUUAAUUGCAAGCUUGUGCUACUUAUAUAAUAGUGUAUAUUAUUUAUUGAAAUUGUAACUUACACUCCAUGUUAAAUCCUAUUGACUAUUGCAAAUAGGAUUGCUUAAUCAUAAGUCACAACUGCGUAUUAUCUUUUUUUUUUUUAUUUUCGUGCAAUUAUAGACUUUAUUAAUGUCCAUCAAGGAUCCACCAUAAUUCAAAGUAGAGAUCAAACGAGAAACACUAAGAACAAGCCCACGUGCUAUUCUAUAACUAGAAACAAGAAAGAAAAGGUAGCAACAAAAAACACCAUACUCGACCUAACUGAUUCUUUCCAUUUCCCACCACUCAUCUCUCUUCGAGACAAACUCAUCCUUGGAGGUAUCAACGGCAAACUUGAGGUUCUAAUCCAAGUUAUAAUUAGCAAAAACAAGGCAAUUUUCAUGUUCUACCAUCUGAGGCUGCAAACUAAGAGGUUCUUGUCGCAUCUUCUCAGCCCGAGCCACAGCCAAUUGCAUUUGUAAUUGUGCCGAAUGAUUCUCCAAAAAUAGGAUCUUGACUUCUCUUCGUACACUGAAAUCCUCCUCUUCGUCCCCAUACAUCCACUGAUCCUUCCCCAAUGUCAGUAUUACACCCCUAUCUGAUUCGCCUCGGAACGCGCACCACAAUAUAUUCCGACCUGAUAAAGACCCGUCCGAAGUGUUUCCGAAGUGAUAUCAGCAAUGUCUGCAACCUAGUAGCACGCUGCGAAAUAAAGGCGAUCCCUACUACUGACCUGACCGAAGCACCUCGCCCCUGAGGCCGAGGCCAAGUGGACCCCAGCUAGAAGAUCCGUCGCCAAUUUCAGAAAAAGAUUUGUGCCAAGAUCCUUCCUGCACCUAAGGUUUAAAUUGAUUUGACGUCUCCAUGAGGCUAAUUGAUGUGACUUAUCAACUUUAUGUCAAUUCAACUCGGGAGAAACAAGCUGUCCGCCCACUCUACAGACACAGCUGAUUGACGCCUAUGAGUGGACGCCUAAUACCGUCAGAUGUAUACACGUGUCUAACAUCCAACGGCUCAUCCCACCUUUAAAUACCAAGGUUUGGCAAGAGGCAAAGGUAAUGAAACUCUUACUACAUAGCACUCCAUAGCAAGCUUAUAUAUUUCUCCUCCCCUUUAUCAUUAUUUGGCACAACCUCUGGGUACUGUUCCGACCACCCAAACCUGACUUAACCGUCGGAGUGUAUACGGCCGCCACCACCCCUGCUGGUCCCGGCCGUGUGCGUUUGACCGCUCGCUGAUUGUGCGCAGGGAGGAAUACGUGGAGUAGCUCUCAGUUGGCCACGUGAAAGGACCAAUUUUCGAGCUCAACAGAUUGGCGCCGUCUAUGGAAAAAACUUCCCGUUCGAAGUUCUACAUUCUCCAUCGGAAAAGUUACCGGAAAACUAGCGACUAACUCUGAAAAGGGGAAGUUCUUGAAAAAGUACAAAGUCGAGUUACAAUCCAAGUUCUCACCACCCUUGGAAAAGGAGGUAGGAUGAGCUAUAGCCAUGAAGACGACAACCCCAUGAGAGAGGCCUCUGAAGAAGAGGUACUCCAUAACAAUGUUACUCAUCAGAGACCACAUCACCGACGUCGCCGAGGUGGAAGAACAGCCAUACUCACUGAAGGAAUGGCUUAAAUAGCUGCGGGUAUGAGAAACAUCGCAGCUCAGAAUAUGACAAUGCAUGAAUUCCUCAUGCAAGCCUAGGGUCAUCAGGGCUAUCAAAUGCCCCAAGGAUCUUACCCGGUGCGUGAAGGUCCUGUAUCUCACUCCCGAGACCACAUGAGCCGGCACACAAAACGUCUCCUUGAAAGGGAGAUGAACGCUGAAGCCACAUCUUAUGUGCAAGGGAGCCAGCCAUCAGAACCACACUUGGGAGACAAUUUCCCUCAAGAACAUGAGGACUAGAUGUCGGUAAGCGUCUUCCACCGGAUAGGGGAGGGUCCUAGCAAUAGGGUCCGCCCAGUAAGAGGAUCAGUUCGUCCAGAUCACGAACACUAACAUGCUCCCCCUCCUCCUAGAAAUAGGAGAGACAGGAGGAACCUAGUCGACUGGGGAAGUCGAGGAGAAGCACCUCCACCUCCCCAGAACAUUCAAGAUGAUGAAGGUUCAGAUGGGCCCUAUCAAUCUUAUGGAAUCGACGAUGAUGAUGAUAACCUCCAUUUCUCAAGGGAGAUCCGAAGCUUCCCAAUGCCAGCAAAUUUCAUGCCCCCUAAGAUCUCUAAGUAUAAAGGAAAGAGGGACCCGUAGAAGCACCAAGUACAUGACACAGAUGAGCCUUAGGGGAGCCUCGCCUGCUUUAAAAUGCAGAGCCUUCCAUUUAACGCUAGGCAGGGCCGCCAAAGUAUGGUACAGCAGGCUUCCUCCCCUAAGUAUCAGAAGUUGGUCUGAUUUGAAGAAAGCAUUUUUGAACCAGUACCUCUCACGCAGGGAAGGAGAGGCACAAGUGCAAUGCCUACAAGAUAUGAGGCAGGCCCCUGGGGAGACGCUGAAAAGCUAUCUCGCCAGGUUUACAGACGAAAUCAGCUACUGUGAACAGGUCACUGACGGAGAAGCCCUUUCAGCCCUGAAAGGUUGGCUCAACAUGAACACUUUGUUCUGGAGAGACGUGCGCAGCAAGAAUCCCUCCACAUAUGACGAGCUGGUGAAAAUGAUGAGAGUGGAAAUUGUUAGUGAAGAAAUGAUUGAUCAUCGCAAUCGUGCCACACAGGGACUCCCUUCGCCUCAGAGGCAGGUAGGUCGGGGACCCGCAGCACACCUUGUUACUCAGCAAUGGACCCAAACAGGUCAUACAAUAGCUCCCACAUCCGAACAGGCCCUGGCUUCCACCACAUUGAAUGCAGUACCGGUGUCGGCAUAUGAGAAUACCCCUGCCGAAGCGGGACCAUCUGGAAGAGCUGAUAACAAGAAGAAGAAGAUGUCAAACAGACCCUUGGAAGGGGCAAAGUUUUGUAUGUUCCAUCAACUCUAUGGACAUGACACUAGUGAGUGCCGAGAUGCCAAUCGACGCCCUGAUCGAAGCAACUCACACCCUUCCAGCAGGAACGAAUAUCCUCGCAGAUCUGCCUCCCCGAAGAGGGGGGAUAGAGGGCACAGGGAACAAUCGCCUCGGAGAAAAGAAUCAAGGGACCAGUGGUGUCAAUCAAGACAGGAAAACCAAGCCCAAUUUUCUGGGAGCCAGGUCAUCAGGGAGAUCGACACUAUCAUUGGGGGACCCCAAGUCGGUGGCAACACCAGGAAUGCCCAGAGAAAUUACACAAGGGAAGCAAAGGACCCACCAAUGAUCACUUACAUUGUCAACGAGUCGUACGCAGCAGAUAGAAUGGCCCCAAUCACCUUCUCCCAGGAAGACUCAAAUGGGGUUCACCACCCCCAUUCAUUGGUUGUAAGAGCCGUAGUGCUAGAAACGGGUUAAAACGCAUACUCGUUGACAAUGGCAGUUCCGUGAACAUAUUGUUCGGCUCCACUUUUGACAAAAUGCAAAUUGAACAUGGGUUGAUCCCCAUGACAGACCCACUAUUUAGAUUCGCCGGGGAUAGCAUCAUCCUACGAGGGCGGAUCACUCUGCCUGUCGAGAUGGGUUCGACACCCUUAGUGGCCCAGCACUUCAUGGAAUUUUUGGUGAUAGACCACAGAUCGGCUUAUCAUGGAGUAUUGGGCAAACCCGCUUUGAAAGAUCUUUGGGCUAUCAUGUCCAUCCGCUACUUGUGCAUGAAAUUUCCAAUCGAACAUAGGAUUGCUACGGUCCGAGGCGAUCAGAUGGGCUCCAGGGCAUGCUACUUAAGCUCGCUGCGGAAGUCCGAGCCCCGAACUGUUAAUGUAAUCCUAACUGAGGUACCCGCUGAAGUCAGUACGGACGUGGAAAUGCUCGACGCCCCUAAACAAGGACAUACCUCUGAACAAGAGGGAGACGUCGACAUGGAAGAGGUCCCUAAACAAGGACAUCAUCUGGAUGAGUUAGAUCCCCGAAUAAUUGACUCUGAACCAAAUGCGACCCCAAUGGAAGAAUUGAAGACUUUCCCCACCAACCCAGAAGACCCCAGUCAGGCCUUGCGUAUAGGAAAGUCAUUGUCCCCUGAAGCAAAAGCAGAGAUGAUAAGCUUCUUGAAAGGGAACUUGGAUGUCCUCGCAUGGAAACAUGAAGAUAUGGUAGGAAUAAAUCCUAGGAUCAGUUCUCAUCACCUUAACAUCAAUCCCUCAUAUGCCCUCCAUAGACAGAAGAGGCGUGCCCACAAUCCGGAAAGGUACGAGGCACUGAAAGACGAAGUAAACAAACUUAGCCACAGUGGUUUCAUAAGAGAGGCCAUCUACCCAAGGUGGAUAUCCAACCCGGUCCUGGUGAAAAAGCCCAGCGGAAAGUGGAGGGUAUGCGUGGACUUCACGAACUUAAAUAAGGCGUGCCUCAAAGACAACUUCCCACUUCCAAGAAUAGAUCAACUUGUGGAUUCUACUACUGGACAUGAACUACUGAGUUUCAUGGAUGCAUACUCAAGGUAUAACCAGAUACCCAUGUUCCGACCUGAUGAGGAAGCUACAUCGUUCAUUACGGACAGGGGUCUGCAUUGCUACAAAGUCAUGCCCUUCGGAUUGAAGAAUGCUGGAGCUACAUAUCAGAGGUUGGUCAAUAUGAUGUUUGCCGAACUCAUUGGCAAAACCAUAGAGGUCUAUGUUGACGACAUGCUGGUCAAAAGCCUCCAGGCAGCCGAACACAUGAGUCACCUCGACCAAACUUUUCAGAUACUUAGAAAGUAUAAUAUGAAAUUGAAUCCCCUCAAGUGCACUUUUGGAGUGGUAUCGGGCCAGUUCUUGGGGUAUAUUGUCAAUCAGAGAGGAAUUAAGGCGAAUCCAGUAAAAGUAAUGGCCUUGCUAGAGAUGAGGUCACCUCAGAAAUCGAAGGAGGUCCAAAGUCUCAACGGUCGGAUAGCCGCACUCAGUCGCUUCAUCUCCAGAGCCACAGAUAAAAGCUUGCCUUUCUUCAAUGUGCUGAAACAAAGAAAGAAAUUCCAAUGGACUUCGGAGUGUGAAGAAGCCUUCGAGGCUCUGAAAAGUACCUUGGGGAGGCGCCCCUCUUGUCGAAACCUCAACUGAAUGAGUCUCUACUGCUGUACUUAGUGGUUUCGGACGUGGCGGUCAGCGCCGUCCUAAUCAGAGAAGAAAGUGAGCGCCAAUUGCCAGUGUACUACAUCAGCAAAGCACUUCUUCCAGCUGAAACACGCUACCCAGACAUGGAGAAAUUGGCACUCGCCCUUAUCACAGCCUCAAGAAAACUGAGGCCAUACUUCCAGGCCCACGCAAUACAAGUUCUCACCAACUUCCACUAAAGCAGGUGAUGCAGAAAACAGACGCAUCAGGAUGCCUGCUAAAAUGGGCAAUCGAGCUCAGUGAGUUCGAUCUAACAUUCCAACCUCGACACGCCAUCAAGGGUCAGGCCCUUGCUGAUUUUAUGAUUGAGUUUGCCAAAGCCCCAGAAAUGGAGACGAUAAUGGAACCAGCCGAGCCCCCCAUAUGGAAACUGUUCGUAGACGGGUCCUCGGAAGAGACUGGCGCAGGGGCAGGAAUCGUGUUGGAAAGCCCAGAAGGCCACAAGCUAAAUUAUGCAGUGAGGUUUGGCUUCGAAGCCUCGAACAAAGCUGCUGAAUACAAGGCCCUUCUGGCAGGUCUUAGACUUGCUAAGGAGAUGCGGGUCAGAAGGCUCCUGGCGAGCAGUGAUUCUCAACUUAUAGUAAAUCAGGUCAAUGGAAACUUCGCAGCCAAAGAUGGUAGCAUGAUUGUGUACUUGAAGUUGGUUAUGGACAUAGUUCCUCAUUUUGAAAGGUUCGAACUGACUCAAGUCCCCCGUUUAGAGAAUGCACAUGCAGACGCCCUUUCAAAAUUGGCCAGCAGCAUAGAUUCAGAACUACUAAAGGCCGUCCCUAUUGAGCACUUAUCAAAGCCCUCCACCUUCGGGGGUGAAGAGAUACUAUGGAUAGAAAGCACCCCAUUAUGGAUGCAGCCUAUCAUCGCCUACCUGAAGGAUCAAACACUGCCUGCUUCUAGAAGCGAGAUGAGGAAGUUAAGAAGAAGGGCAGCACACUUCGUCCUGCAAGAAGAUACCCUUUACAAGAGAGGCUUCACCUCGCCGGUUCUUCGAUGCGUAGGAGACGAAGAGGCCACAUACAUACUCAGGGAAAUUCAUGAGGGAAUCUGUGGAAAUCACUCCGGAGGAACGGCUCUGGCACACAAGGUUCUCCGUUAAGACUACUUCUGGUCGACCUUGAAAAGGGAUGCUUGCCAAUUUAUCCAGAAAUGUGAUAAGUGCCAGCACUUCUCGAACCUACAAAGACAACAUACUCAGAGUCUCUCCGUAGUAACCAGCCCUUGGCCGUUUGCCAAGUGGAGCAUUGACUUCUUUGGUCCACUCCCAAAAGGAAGAGGAAGUGCAACUUUCGCCAUUGUUGCCAUUAACUACUUCACUAAGUGGGUCGAAGCUGAACCCCUUGCCAGGAUUAUCAAGGCGAAUACUACCAAAUUCGUCUGGAAGAACAUGAUUUGUAGAUUCGGCAUUCCCCACUCCUUAGUGUCUGAUAAUGGAAGGCAGUUCGACAACAAGAAGAUGCGAGACUUAUGCGACGAACUAGGCAUAAAGAAGGACUUCUCGACACCUCAUCACCCCCAAGCAAAUGGACAAGUUGAAGCAGUGAACAAGACUAUCAAGCACACCCUGAAAAUGAAGCUUGAUACCUCAAAGGGGGCCAGGGUUGACGAACUCCCCCACGUCCUCUGGGCUAUCAGAACUUCUUGCCGGACUGCAACAGGUGAAACACCAUUUUCCAUGACCUACGGAGCCAAAUCCAUGAGUCCGGUCGAAGUCGGGGUCCCAUUACGUUGACGGAUACACUUCAAUGAGAUCAGCAAUGACGAUGCUGGAAUAAGCGAACUACACCUCCUUGAGGAAAGGAGGGAUGCCUCCCAAGUGAACUUGGCAAAGUAUUAUCGAAAGAUGACCCGCUAUUACAACUCCAAAGUUAGAAACAGAACUCUUCGCCUGGGCGACCUUAUCCUCAGAAGAGUCUUCCAAUCCUCCAAACCAACCGGGUCAGGAGUGUUUUGCCCGAACUGGGAAGGCCCUUACCGCAUCCGCAGGGAAUCCCAACUUGGUACUUUCGAAAUUGAAGACAUGGCAGGAAAGGCGCUGCCUCAUCAGUGGAACAUCUAACACUUGAGGAAGUACUAUCAAUGAUAAGCCUUUGUUCCGAUCCGAUUUCAAUAUGGUAUAAUGAAUCGAUUGUUUUGAUCUAAUCUCAGUUGUAAAUUCCCUAACUACGUGCUGGAAUCGCCUUGGUAAAGGGUGGUGUAAUUUAUCUCAAGUAAUGAAACUUUGGUUCUGAGCCACAUUAGUUAGUAAAUAAAUUCCUCAGUCCUUCAAUGGGAAGCGAUCCGACCUUCAAUUAUUAAGGGGCUCUUCAUGUUUGCUUAAGUGGUCCGCUUCAUAUUAACUUAUGUGGUCCGAUCUCAUAUUGUUAACAGGUUAGCAUUAAGAGUCGCUUCAUAUUUGCUUAAGUGAUUCAACUUAUAUUAACUUAAGUGGUCCGAUCCGCAAUUAUUAACUGGUUACUGUUACGAGGCAAUUAGUCUGACGUUUGUCAUUCAUACAAGUAUGAACAGAUCGAAAAGAUAAAAAAAAAAAAAGCAGAAGCACAAAUACUUAGCAAAAAUUUCAUUUCAUUGAAUAAAUUUAAGUACAAGGAGGCCGAAGCCAUUACAAAAGAUAACCCUAUUCUGCUGGAGGGACUUCUACAUCAGCAGCCUCCAGGGCCUCCGGAGCUUCCUCAGCAAGCCUAUCAGGUCGACCUCCAGUUGGCCCCCCGAACUCUGCCUCCAAUGAGGAGAUGUCCAAAGUGGGGUGCACCUCCUUCACUCGACCCAAUAAGCUUUGGGCACUCCAUGAGGCCCAAAAAUUGGCAAAGUCGUCAUACAAGGGAUGGUCUUCAAAGUGGUCGAUGAAGUUCUGAGCUGCCACCUCCCCUGCAGACUUCAACUUCUCUUUCAAAGAGGCAAUCUCCUCUGACUGAGCCUCUGCCUCAGCUCCGCCUUCUCUUUGUUGGAGGCCUCCAGAGCCUCGGUAGCGAGCUUGUGGUGCUCAUUGGCGUGAUCAAGCCGCCGAGUCACAGCAGCCACUUGGCACUCCACCUUGUACAACUCCUUCUUCAGUCGCUCCACUUCUGCUUUGGCGGCAGUUAGCUGAGCCUCAGCUUCCUUCUUCCCCUCCUCCGCCUGCGUGGCCUUGGCCUGGGCCGUUCGCACGGUAUCCCCGUAGUGCAUCGCCUCCUCGAGGUGCUUGGCGAGGUCCUCCCACUUGGAGUUCAGAUCCUUCACCAAGCCCUCAAGUUGGAUGCUUGUACUCAGGGCCCGAGCCACGCAGGCGCUAUUUGUAGCCACCAAAUCCUCAGCUGUGCAGGAGGCGAUGUGGUCCCUCCACUCCUCAGUCCAGUAUUUGCUACGGACGACCGCCACCGCAGCUGUUUCUGGAGGAAGAGCCUCCAACACUUCCCUUACGGGCUCCUCCAGGUUUGUGCCCAGAAAGUCGACCUCCUUAGAGGGACAGGGCCUCUUCCUCUUCUGCUGCCCUGGCACUUGAUCAAUUGGCACGGCAGCGAGGGGUAUUGUGGCCAGGGUAGUGGCAGGCUCAAGUGGGGCGGGCCUCUUCUCCGGAAUAGCCACCCCGGUGGGAAUUGUGGUUUGCCUCAGAGCAAGGGGUGGCCUCGCCACAGUUGAGCGUUUUGGAGGGGCGGCACUCUUCUUGCCCUUCCUCUGAAGGUCAGCCUCCAGGUCCUCCGGUACCUCCUCCUCCGUCGGAAGCUGAAGCCUCUUACUGGCUUCCACCAAAUCCUCCAUUUGCUUUUUGUAGGAGAAGGAGGCCAUCAACGCCCGUGCCUCUGCCAUCAUCUUCUGGAUGGUCUUAAAAUCGGGGCGCACCGACAUCUUCUUAUUAAAGUUGUCUGCAAAGAGCGAAUGAUGAAUUAGUACAAGUGUUGAGAGUUCAGAAUAAAGGGUAAAGACUUCGGUCCAAUUACCUUGGGAUGCCAUCAGAUCGUGAGUAAUGAAGUGGAUGUACUUUCGGAUCAGCCUAUGGUAAGACCUCUUCUUUUGAGUCAGCUGAUAAAUGAUACAUAUGGUUUCAAAGUCCUCGGAUGACAGCUAGCACCGAGGAAGAGCACCUACAAAGGAAAUGUAAAUGUUAGGCACAAUUCGAACCGAAGAGAAAUAUAAGGAAAAACAACUACUAUACUCACUAAGUGUUGAGUAAUUCGUCGGGACCGUAAGAGGCGCCAGGGGAUCCCCUCCAUCGUGUCUCAUCGCCCUGCGGCCCAACACCACGAGCUCUUCCAUUCUUUGAUGGAGCUCGACAGAUCGAGUAAGAAUGGAGUGUGGAAACCCCAUGAAGUAAGGUAAUACCAUCCCCGAGUCUUAUCCCUCCCGGUAGUUACCUUAGGUAUAUAAAGGGUCUGAAAGACGGAAAGGGGCAUCUCCACCCCUAAUGACGCCUCUUUCCACAACAUCCAGGAGCCCACCAUUUGGCUUCAGGAGUUCGGAUUGAGUUGCGUCGGGGAUAGCCCAUAGGAUCUAAGAACCAUCCUAAAGAAUGGGUGAACUGGCAGCCUAAGUCCGGCCCUAAGGAUCGCCUCGCUAAUGGCCACACAACCCGACUUAGGGUAGCAGGCUCUCUCUUCUGGCCCGGGAAUGAUCAAAUCUAUGCUAUCAGGGAUCCUAUACUCUGUCCUAAGUCUCUCCAGGUCGGCCUCUCUUAAUUUGGAUGGGUAGUCCAAUGCCCCGCAAUGCACAGAAGUAUCUGCUGGGCUAUCCGGUCGCUUCCAUAUAUUUUCCCCCUAUUAUUGCCUCGGCUAUUUCUGAGGAGGUCGCCACAAUGGGCUCGUCCAUCCUCACUAGUUCUAACCCCCUCCCCGAACCAGACCUCCCGUCCGAGGCCCUUUUUUCAAGAUUUAAAAGCCCUAAAAGGUACUGAAACUUACGAGUUUGAAGGUUUUCCUAGCCGGAAAUGGUGUAAGGUCGCCAAAAGUUCAAUUUUCUCGUCAGAAUUGCUUAGAAAACGUCGAAAAUCGCCAGUGACUUGAGAGCAAAAUAUAUUGUUUGUUUCGCAAGGGUAGAAAGCCUGAGAAAACCUCAGAGUCCUCCUUUUAUAGAAGGACAAAUCCGAUCUCCACCAUCGAAUUCAAAUGCGAUCAAUCUAAGUCGUUCAUCGCAUCUUCAAUCUAGGCCGUUGAAAUGAAACGCCAGAUUUGAUCUACGCCUAAGAUGUCGCUGUGACAUUCACGCUUGCUUAAAACACGUCACCUCGGUUACAACCAGCCGUCAAUAAUAAUAAGUAGCCGCACCAGCCUUUUAGGAGAAUGGGCAUGGCACCCAACUGUCACCUUAGAAACACGCAACAAUUGUCAAAUCAUUUGACGUUUGAAUCACCUCGAAUCGAGCUCCUCACUCAACUUUACAAAGUUUGGACGCACCUGACGCGAAGUCCCUGUGGGUCAUCGCCUCGGACGCUGUGUUCCCUCCCAUGCUUUACAAAGUUUUAGCCAUCUCCCAACGCAUCGGCCUAUGGGUCAACGCACCGGUGGCAGAUAAGCUCCUCACUCAACUUUACAAAGCUUGAACGCACCUGACGCGAAGUCCCCUGUGGGUUAUCGCCUUGGACGCUGCGUUAUCUCCCAUGCUUUACAAAAUUUUAGCCAUCUCCCAACGCUUCGACCCUGUGGAUCAGCGCACCGGUGGCAGAUGAGCUCCUUAUUCAACUUUACAAAGCUUGGACGCAUCUGACGCGAAGUCCCCUGUGGGUUAUCGCCUCGGCCGCUAUGUUACCUCCCAUGCUCUACAAAGUUUUAGCCAUCUCCCAACGCGUCGACCCUGUGGAUCAGCGCACCAGUGGCAGAUGAGCUCCUUACUCAACUUUACAAAGUUUGGACGCACCUGACGCGAAAUCCCCUGUGGGUUAUCACCUCGGAUGCUACGUUACCUCCCAUGCUUUACAAACUUUUAGCCAUCUCCCAACGCGUCAGCCCUGUGGGUCAGCGCAUCGGUGACAGAUGAGCUCCUUACUCAACUUUACAAAGUUUGGACGCACCUGACGCGAAGUCCCCUGUGGGUCAUCGCCUCGAACGAUGCGUUCUCUCCCAUGCUUUACAAAGUUUUAGACAUCUCCCAACGCGUCGGCCCUGUGGGUCAGCGCAACGGUGGCAGAUGAGUUCCUCGCUCACCUUCGCAUAGCCUACACGCACCUAGCGCGAGCCCCCUCUCGGACAUUGCCUCGAUUGUCAUGUUAACCUCUUUUCCUACUAAUCGUCCCGUCUUGCAGCGCUUCGACCUCACAUCGGUUAUUUUUUCCCUUACACAGUAACGAAACUUUGGCACAUCUGCACAGGAUCAUGACCUCGAUUACUGCAAAAGAUCAACCCCCAAACUCCCACGAGUCGUGGUCCCCAGUACCUAGACAUAUACAUCCGGUCAGGAAAGGAAAGGAAGUCCACCCAUGAUAUAAAUAUUCAUACCUGGACUUGGGGGACCACUGUUACGCCCCUAUCUGAUCCGCCUCGGAACGCGCACCAUCAUAUAUUCUGACCUGAUAAAGACCCAUUCGAAGUGUUUCUGAAGUGAUAUCAGCAAUGUCUGCAACCUAGUAGCACGCUGCGAAGUACAGGCGAUCCCUACUACUGACCUGACCGAUGAUCCACUGCCAAUUUCAGAAAGAGAUUUGUGCCAAGAUCCUUCCUGCACCUAAGGUUUAGAUUGAUUUGACGUCUCCAUGAGGCUAGUUGAUGUGACUUAUCAACUUUAUGUCAAUUCAAAUCAGGAGAAACAAGCUGUCCGCCCACUCGACAGACGUUGCUGAUUGACGCCUAUGAGCGGACGUCUCAUACCGUCAGAUGUAUACACGUGUCCCACAUCCAACGACUCAUCCCACCUAUAAAUACCCAAGGUUUGGCAAAGGUAAUGAAACUUACUACAUAGCACUCCAUAGCAAGCUUAUAUAUUUCUCCUCCCCCUUAUCAUUAUUUGGCACAACCCCUGGGUACUGUUCCGACCACCUAAACCAAACUUGACCGUCGGAAUGUAUACGACCGCCACCAUCCCCGCUAGUCCCGACCAUGUGCGUCUGACCGUUCACUGAUUGUGCGCAGUGAGGAAUACGUGGAGCAACUCUCAGUUGGCCACAUGGAAGGACCAAUUUUCGAGGUCAACAGUCCACACCCUCGAAACCUCUAUGAUCCGCUUGUGUGAUGUUUUGCUGUAUAAUUGACAUACGUCUUACUAGGUCGGAUUUUGCAAACUAUAUUUUGUUCGCUCAUCAAAGCUAGCUCCGAGUUCUUCGAUGCACGGAUAUAAUUGAAGAAAGACAACAUUAUUGUCCCAUCCAGCAUCCUAAACAUGCCUUUAACUUGCCUUUGACAGUUGCAAACUAUAUUUUGUUGGCUCAUCAAAGCUAGCUCCGAGUUCUUCGAUGGCACGGACAUGUCCGAUCCAGCAUUCUAACCAUGCCUUUAACUUGCCUUUGACAGUCCAAAUGUGUUGCAACAAUGGCUUUUCCCCUUCUUUUCAGGUUUCUCAACUCACCCA